AGAGAGAGAGAGAGAGCAAGGUAUAUGCCUCGUAAUUCCAUUCCUUAUUGAUGUGGGUGAAACUUACUGCUUGGUUUAGGAGCUUGUAGAUAAUUUCAUCCAUGAUCUGGGUCCAUUGCCAAUGAACUGUUUAUGGAGAUUUGCAUAAUUGGAUGUCAUUAGAAGAAUCUCCUACAAUCACUACUCUAACAUGCACUACACUCAAUCUUAUAAUUCUGAAGUGAAGAGCAAUCUUGAAGUGAAGAGCCCAUAGCUCCACCUCAUUGACUGAACAGGAGACGGGUCUCUAAGAGAGAGACAUGGCCUAAUAGAGAGAGGCGAUUUUCCCAUGAAAAUUUUGGGUUGGUAAGGUAUCCACUUCUAGAAAGAUUAUCUCGGUUAUCUUUCUGGUAGCGGUAUUGCGGUAAGAAAGAAGGUAUUGAUCAACAAUGUUGCUCGGUCAAGAGAUCAGGUUUAGCAAAGAAGAUUAGUAAGAGUUUUCAUCAAUUUUUGGAGAGAUAUAUAUCUUUUGUGACCUAAAACUGUAAUCUUGAAUAUGAUAAGGGACUUCUACUUGUCAAGGUCGUGGAUGCAGUCUUAUAAGGUGAACCAUGUAAAUAGUGUGUCAUUAUUAUAUGCUUUGUAUGUUUGCUUUAUUUCUUACACUCGAUUUAUAAUUUGUAUUCAUUUAUUUCGCAUUUAGCUAAUUAGAUAUACGAUAUUGGGUGGGAUCCUGAUAUUUAAGAUUCUUUAUUCCACAAACAAGGGCUUCCCAUAACCCUACAAUUACAAGUUCUUGCUAAUAACAACUCAAAUGGAACUAUUGAAAACAUGGAGAGCAAAUACUUUCAACAUAAUCUAAAUCCAGCCUAUUUGCAGCUAAUUUUUAUAAUAAAAAACUCAAGCAUCAUUUUUCAAUAAUUCUCAUAGAAAUAAAUCUCUCACAAUGUAACACAUAACAAAGAAGACCAUAACAUGAAAACAACGAUGAAUUGAAGAGCAAAGAUUUUCGUUUAAUCAUCUUUGGAAAAUAAAUAAGAAAAGACAAAACUCAACAUAGAAGUUUAAAAAAUAUUUCAAAUUAAGAUAUAUCAUAUUAAAAGACAUGAUUGUCUAAAUAUGGAUGUCCUCCCAAAUUCCGUGGGCUGGGUGGGGCUCUUCACAACAUGGGUCUUUUGACUAGGAAAAAAGGACCUGCGGUCCGAGAUAGGCCUAAAUUUUUCUUGGGCUGGUGGCUGACUUGUAGCCUUAGUUUGUUGCCCUUUUUUUAGAAAAAUGUUAUAUUUUCAGGGGCUCACAACAUGACUUCUAGAGUUCCAUUUUCACUAGGUUGCAAUUUAAUACUAGAAAAAUUAAAAAAUAACAAAACAUCACAAGUUAUAUACAAAGGGAAACAAAAAAUAUGAAAAUAUGACACCAAGACAUAAUUUAAUAUUAAAAGGAAAAAUAAAAAAUAAAAAAGCAAAAUACAACAUAAGUUAUAUACAAGAGAAAAAAAAAAAAGUAUGAACAUAUUACUCCCACAAAUAAUCUGCUACCAUUGGAACUCAAACUUCUCUUUAUUUCUAAGAUAUUUAUGUAAAGUUUCUCAUAUGCUCAAAGAUGUAUUGCAAGUGAGUACAAUAUUUGGAAAAAUUGGAUGACCAUAUAUCAUUUCCAGUUAUUAAUUUCUUAACAAAUUUGUGAAGCAUUUUAUACAAAGUUGAAAGAAGCCGCAUUAUCCAAUAGUACAACUUAUAAGUAUAAGGAAAGUGUUUUGAUAGGCUGCUGCGCUAUCAAAAUAAGUAACGCCUCAUCUCGAAACUCAGCGAAUAUUGCAAUUCUGACAUUGAAAAACCUUCAAAUUGAUCAUCUCAUCAUUGACCACUAUAGUUGUUUGAAAAAAACUAGGAUUUCAAGCUCUAAAAAUAGUAUAUAUUAUAACACAAUGUAUAGAUCGUCCAUUUCAUCCUAAAGAUGAGUAUUCACAUAUCCAUAAGAUUUGUUCCGAUUGUUAACCUUCAAAUUUCACAGUCAAAGUUGGAAACUGCCCAAAAUACUCUAAAGAUGAGGAUUCAAGGUGAGUCUUUACUUUGUUUUUAUAAAGCCUAGGCCUUAUAAAAACUGCAUCCUAAUUAUAGAGGCUUGGAAAUCAGGGAUAACCCAUUUGAAAAACAUACAUGUGCAUGUCAUGAUUUUUUAAAUAACCUACCUAGCUGUCUUGUUCUAAUAAAUGUAUCAGAAUAAAGGGCUAACAGUCAUUUACAAUUUUUUUUUUUGAGAAAAUUACGUACGUAUCCGUUAUAGUUUGUGUUAUUACAAAACUAUUGAAUAAUUUCGGUUAUUACCUAUCUGUCCGUUUUUUUCAUUUCAUAAUGAAAAUUUGAAAAAAAAAAAAGCAAAUUUACCCUUUUUCGGUUGUUGAACAACCGACUUCAAUGGAUUUUCGAUUGUUCAACAACCGAAAUCAGGCCAAUUUAGGUAUUUCAAAAACCAAAAAUUCAAAAUUUUUCGUUGUUGAAUAACCGAAAUUUUUAAAUUUUCGGUUAUUCAAAAUAUUUUUUUUGAACCAAAUUUUUUUUUAUAGGUAUACCUUUUUUUUUGUUGUUGCACGAUUGAAUUCAAUGGAUUUUCGGUUGUUCAAUAAUCCAAAUCCUCUAUGCCGUUCUUCACCCACGCUUUACCCGUCUUUUCUCUUUAAACUCUAUAGGGAAGAGUUUAAACCCACCUAAUGUAAGCUAUAGAGUGAUAAUGGAUAAACAUAAGGGAGAGUUUAGAUAAACAUAGGGGAGAGUUUAAAAGGUAGGGAAGAGUUUAAACUCACCAAAUGUAAGGUAUAGGGAGAGAAUGGAUAAACAUUGGAUGGGUUUAAACUUUUCCCUAUCCUUUAAACUCUCCCCUAUGUUUAUCCAUUCUCUUUCUAUACCUGGGUGGGUUUAAACUUUUAUCCAUUCUCUCUCCUAUGUUUAUUCAUUUUCUCUAUAUAUGUUAGGGUUUAAACUCUUCCCUAUGUUUAUCGUUUCUCUCUACAAUAAGUAAUCUACGUCGAUAAAUAUAGGGAAGAGUUUAAAGGGAAAAUUUAGGCAAAGCUGGUUAAAGAUGACUAAUCUAUGUCGAUAAAAUCGGGAAGAGUUUAAAGGGAAAGACGGAUACAACGUGCUUAAAGAAGGGUAUAGAGGAUUUUGGUUGUUGCGUGGUUAAAGAAUGGUAUAGAGGAUUUCAGUUGUUGAACAACCGAAAAUCCAUUGAAUUCGGUUGUUCAACAACCCAAGAAUAGGAGUACCUAUAAAAAAGAUUUAGGUUCUUGAAGAAAACAACCAAAAAUUUUGAAUUUUGGUUUUUCAAAAACCGAAAUUGGCCUGAUUUUGGUUGCUGAUAAAAAUCCAUAGAAUUCGAUUGUUCAACAACCGAAAAAAGGUAAAAUUGUCUUUUUUAAAAAUUUUCGUUAUGACAUGAAAAAAAAUAGAUAUAUAGAUAAUAACGGAAACUAUUCGGUAGUUUUUUAAUAACGCAAACUAUAACAAAUAUGUACGUAAUUUUUCCGUUUUUUUUUUUUUUUUGAACGUUUCAUUUACAUUUCUCUCAUGUUGUUUUAUUCUUGGGCGGCACAAAUAACUGUUAUUAUAUGUGACGGAAACUAAUUUUCAUUGCAACUGAACCGUGAGAUGCCUCACCUAAUCUGCAUCUAGAUUGACGCAUGCCCAGCCUUGCCACAAUCACAAAUGGAGAUGGCAAUCAUACAAGGAAGGAAUAAAAUAGGGCUGGGGACAGGGCAGGCCUGGUCCUAGGGCCUUAGCCACAAAAUGUAAAAUGUGACCUAAAAGGCUAGGUUGGGGCCGGGGUUGCAAUAGGGCCCAACAGGGGGAGGGCCAGGCUUAGGCUAGGGCUUCUUUGGCUUGGUUCGAGAUGAGCUGAGUUUGGGCCAACUCUAUAAAGACCAGGGUUGGGCUAGGAAUAGAGUCGGCCCGACCUAUUGUGAGCCGAGGCUUGGUCUAUGACUAGAGUCGGCCCAGCCUAUUGCGAUCCCAAGCUUAAUUAGGGCUGGUAGUAAGCCAAAUAGCUUGACCUCAAAAAAAAACUCAGGACCUGAGUCACAAAAUGGGGCACAAGGGCCAGGCUUAGGCCAGAGUGCUUAGUCCCGAUCUCGGCUAGGUUUCACUAGACCAACCUAAUAGUGGCCCAGGCCGGACCUGACUUGGCCCAAUGCUUGGUAUAAAUCCAGAUGUUUUGAGAUGGGUGAACACCCCUCUCACAAGAAGUUUGGCCACUCAAAAUAAUUUCCCGGUUAAGAGAGGUAUGUCACAACCCAAAAGAAGGUUAAGCACUAUCCAUAUAAGGAGGCUAAACAUUGCCUGUAUAAGUCUUUGUACAAUAUGUACAUAGACUCAUGUUUCUUAUCAGUUGGGCCUGGAAGGUUUUAGAAUAGUGUAGCAAACUAAUGAGGGUUCUAGUGGAUUUCUGGAAGUAUUAUAAUGGAAGGGUUGUGUAGAAUGCUCUAAAACUUUGUACAGGCUAGAAGGUUUCUAGUUGUUGGAUGUGCCUCAUUUGUAACACGUUAGAAGGAUGAAAUCCUUGGGCCUUAUGAGCAUUCUUGUGUAAGAGGAAUAUUAAACGUUAUUCUUAGCCAACUUGUGCAUGUGCGACUCUCUUAUGUGUCCAGGGCUACUUUGGUAUAUAUCUAGUGAGCUUGAUAACUGACUGAUCUUCAACGGGGUAGAAGUGCCACACAAUGAAAGCGCAUGGAUUCAAUUGGGGCGGUUACAAGCAAACUUCGUCAUUUGGGAGGUUUUUACAUCCCCAACGAAGCUAUUCACUCGUGUUUCCGAAACUGAGGCUUUCAUUCCACGUGUAAAACCACCCAUCGAAUGCGCCUUGGGUACCCCGCCAACCCGCAGGUGGUCCUGGAAGUUUUAUCACGACGGGCCAGCUUUAACCAACUGAUCAGUGAAUUUCAACGGAAGUCGCUGUGUUUUUCGCUUAACGAGGAAACUGGAUAUUCGCAGAAGCCAAAAGUUUUUACAGAGAGUACAUUAAAAAAUGCAGCGUUCAGAUGAACCAUAUCUACAAACAAAUGGGUUUGAAGUCUGCAUGUCUGUUGAGUCCCCUGCCACCACCACCAUCUUCUUCCUGAGGAAAAGGAGGAGGAGAUGGAAGACGAGGCUUCUUGUGAGCAGGAAAAACAAAAGGAAGCCAUGGCGGAGCAACACAAGCGGCCCGUUGUGCUCUUGAAAGACCCCAUCAUGCCCUCACUUGAAAAGGCCCUACAGCUCCACUUCGACCUGCUCAAGCCCUGGGAUUCGGGACAACCCCUGCACAGCUUCCUGGUCUCACACGCCCACUUGGUGAGCGCGGUGCUGUGCAGGGGGUCGUAGUGGGCCUGUGGAAUCCGCCUUGAUUGACGCCCUCCCUGGGUUGAAAUUGGUGGUGACAACCAGCAUGAUGGGUGGAUCACAUCGAUAUGAGCGUGUGUCGGCGACGCGGCGUGGCUGUGGGCAACCUCGGUGCUGUUUUUGCAGAGGAAGUUGCUGACUAUGCCAUUGGCCUCCUGCUUGCUGUCCUCCACCGCAUUGCUGCCUCUGAUCGCAACGUGAGGCAAGGGCACUUUUGCUCGGAGUCACACAGUCCGUUUGGUACCAAGGUCUCUCUUUCUCUCUCAUUUAAAUUCGGAAAAAAGGAGGGAGGGUAUUCACUCCUUUGUUCAAUUUGCACUUGGGAGCUGAAACUGUUGAGCUUGGUUUUCUUCAUGCCCUUAGGGGCAGUUUUGAAAUAAAUAAAAUUAUGUAAUUUUUAUUUUUCCUAAUGAUCAAAAUACCCCAUUUUCAUUUGAUCCCUUUUUAUUCCACUUUUUUUUAAAGCUCCUCCACUCUUUUUCUUUCCAACAGUUGAAGCAAAUAGAUUUAUGUACAUUGAGGUAGGGUUUGGGGAGUUUGGUGUGUUGCACCUUGUUUAUAAGGGACACACUAAUCAUCUGAAGUUGUGGAUUUACUUGUUCUCUUUAUAAGCCCUAGUUGGAGCAUAUUGGUGAGUUCGUUCCAUUUUUUUAUUUCUUCAUCUUGAUUCAUGACUAGGAUAAAGCAUGAAAUAGAGGAUAACAAUUUGGGGGAUUUGUAUUGAUGAUUUGAGGAGCUCUUAUUAUGGAUAUUUGCUUGGGCUUCUUAUGUAAUUGGAUUAUAUGUAUGCAAAUUGUUUGAUAAUAUCUUCAAGUACAAUUUAAAGAGAGAUCUUGAUCCAAAUCUAAGUUUGCAUUAAUCCAUAUUAAUAGCUACCGUAAACCGAUCCUAACAUUUGGUAUCAGAGCUACAGUUGGACGGCUAUUACAAGAAGCGUACUUUCAGAAUUGGUAAAAAUUGAGAAGCUUGAUGGAUCUAAUUUUUCUAUAUGGAAAGGCAAAUUAUUUUUCUUGCUUCAUAAUACGGAAUUGUUAAAUGGGAGUAAUGAAGAGAAACCUAGUGAACCAGAUGAUGACUCAACUCUUAAAGAGAGGGAAAAAUAUUUGAAGUGGAAAAAUGAUGAUAUUUCAUGUAGAGGUGCUAUUCUAAAUUGUUUAAGUGAUAGGUUGCACAAUGUAUUUGUAAAGUAUGCUAAUGCUAAGGACUUGUGGAUUACCAUUGAAAAGAGGCACACCGAUGAUAAUUAUGUUGCUAAAUGUAAGCUUUAUGAAAUAUAUAAUAUCUAUAAGAUGAAAGAUGAUCAAUCGGUGCUAGAUUAUUUUGAUGAUAUGAAUAUUAUUGUUAAUCAAUUUGCCUGUUAUGGUGAGCCCAUAAGUGAGCACCAACAAAUUAUGAAAAUUAUUGAAAACCUUCCAAAUUCUUGAAAAGCUUUGAAAAAGAACUUGUGCCAUACUAAUACAAAUUGGAUGACCUUAGAGGACAUUUGAGGAUAGAAGAGAAUGAUAGAGUUAAAGAAAAUAUGAAAGAGCUAAUACCAAGCCUACUUAGCAAUGGCCAAGAAAAAUGAUAACAAAGUUCCUAAUAAGAAUGCUAAGAAGCCUUUCCAUCUUCAAAACUCCUACACGUUUAAGAAAUUCUGUAAUUGUAACAAAUUUAGUCAUAUUGCUAAAUUUUGUAAGGAAUCCAAGAUAAAGAAUGUUGGACAAAAUAGUGGCUCCAAGGACUUCUCCUUUGUGGUUGAGGAGCCAUUGAUGGUGAGCUCCCCUGAUGAAUGGUGGGUGAACUCUGGAGCUACUAGGCACAUCACUAAAACUAUGAACAAUAUGGUGGAGUUCAAAGAAAAGAGUGAUGGUGCUGGAAAACUUUUUAUGGACAACUCGUUUAGUAUUAAUAUUCUCGGAGAAGGGACAAUUAAGCUUCCACUCCCAUUCGGUGGCAAUUUGACCAUUAAUGAUGUUUUGUAUUCCCCCAACAUGAUAAAGAAUUUAAUCUCUCUAUCUAGGAUUAAUAGGGGUGGGGGUGAAAUUUAUGUAAGGGAUGGAAAGAUGAUUAUUAAGAAAAAUGAUGCUUUUGUUGUAAAGGCCACAAUGGUUGGUAACAUGUACAAACUUGAUCUUGAUAAUAAAAUGAAAAAGCCAUUUACUUAUGAUGAGUGUUUUAAUAUUUGGCAUAGAAGGCUUGAUCAUAUUAGUUAUGAAAAAUUAAGAAGAUUAAUGAAACAAAAUGUUAUCCUUGAUCUAAAAAAGGAAAAUUUCAGGUGUGAAACUUGCUUAAGGAAAAAUGCAUAGAAAACUAUUUCCUAAAGGUAAAAGAGCUCAAAAUUUACUUGAAAUUGUUCAUACUGAUAUAUGUAAAAAAUUAAAGCACAAAAGUAUAGGUGGAAGUGAGUAUUUCAUUAUUUUUAUAGAUGAUUAUUCUAGAUACUCUUAUAAUUAUUUAAUUUCUCAUAAAGAUGAAGCACUAGGCAAAUUUAAAAGGUACAAAUUAGAAGUUGAACGCCAAUUAAAUACAAGAAUCAAGAUUCUUAGAAGUGGUAGAGGAGGAGAAUAUAGAUCCAAAGAAUUUAGUGAGUUUUGUAAUAAAAAUAGAAUAGUUAGGAAAACCUCUUUACCUUACACCCUUCAACAAAAUGGAAUAGCCGAGAGAAAAAUUAAAACUUUAAUUGAUAUAGUCAAUUGUAUGAUUCAAGAAACCAGUUUAGAAUAUCGAUUUUGGGAGAAGCUAUCGUGGCGGCAAUAUAUAUAUUAAAUAGAGUGCUUUCCAAAUCAACGACUGUAACACCCUGUGAGCUAUGGUUUGGUGGGAACCUCAAUCUAGACCAUAUCAAGGUAUGGGGUUCUAUGGCACAUGUUCAUAUUCCUUGUGAGAAGAGGGAUAAGCUAGGACCCAAAACUAUAAAUUGCUUUUGUGUGGGAUACUCAAGUGACUUUGAGGGAUAUAGAUUUUAUAAUGAAGAAUAUAAAGAAAUUGUUAAGGGUAGAUAUCCUUACUUCUUUGAAAAUGUUGAAACAUCAAAAGUAAAAUAAGCUUGAAUUUUAGAACAAAGUGGGGAAGAAAAACCUUAAAAUCCUAACAUAAUUAAUGUAGGAAGCUCUUCUCAAAUUGAUGCUACUAAAUUAUUUGAGCCGAGAAGGAAAACAAGGGAGAUUAAAAGACCUAGUUAUUUAGAUAAUUAUAUAUAAUAUAAUGAAGUUAAUGAAGUACCAUAUAAUUUUAAGGAAGCUAUUAGUUCGCCUGAAGCAAUGAGUGAGAUGGAAGCUAUGAGGACUGAAUAUGAGUCUUUAAUAAAUAAUUAAACAUGGGUAUGAGCAGAAUGACCUACAAAUAGAAAGGCAAUGGGUUGUAAGUGGGUAUAUUCAAAUAAGCUUAAUUCUAAUGGAAGUGUUAACAUAUAUAAAACAAGGUUAUCUUCCAUUAGCCAGGAAAUCUUCCAUUAGCCAUAGCUAGUCAUUAAAAUAAUAUUUUUCAUCUAUAGCCAGGAAAUCUUCCAUUAGAAUAAUAUUAGCUAUAGCUAAUCAUUAUGAUUUUGAUUUUCAUCAAAUGGAUGGUAAAAUUGCCUUUUUAAAUGCUGAAUUAGAAUAAGAAAUUUACAUGUCUCAACCUGAAGGCUUUGAAUGUGAAGGUCAAGAAAAUAAAGUAUGCAAAUUAAUUAAAUCAUUAUAUGGUUUAAAGCAAUCCUCAAGACAAUAGUAUUUGAUAUUCUCACAUACACUUAGAGAGUAUGGAUUUAAGAAUAUCACUACAGAUUAUUGUGUAUACUCUAAAGACAGUGGGGGUAUUCUUUUAAUUGUAGUCUUGUAUGUAGAUGAUAUAAUCAUAACGGGAAAUGAUGGAAAAGCCAUUGAGGAAUGUAAGAUGUGGUUGUCCUCUAAGUUUGAGAUGAAAGAUAUGGGCUAUGUUGACUAUAGUCUCGGAAUUGAAGUUACUAGAAACAUAAAUAAAAUAUUAUUAUAUCUUGACCAAGGGCAAUAUACUCUUAUAGUACUAAAGAAAUUUACAAUGGAGAAUUCUAAACCCAUAGCUACCCCAAUUGACAAAAAUUGUAAAUUAACAAAGGAAAUGUGUCCUACGACUAAUAAAGGGAAAGAAAUCAUGCAGGAUUGCCCUUAUGCACAGGCUGUAGGGUCACUUAAUUAUUUGAUGAAUUGUGUUAGACCCAAUAUAGCUUAUGCAGUGGGGGUUGCUAAUAGAUACAUGAUCAAUCCUGGUAUUGAGCAUUGGAAAUUAGUUAAGAGAAUAUUUAGAUAUUUAAAAGUGACACAUGAUUAUGGCCUAAUCCUUGAGGGAUAUAGCGAUGCUAAUUUAGAUCAACAUCUUGAUGGUUAUUUAUUUUUGGUGGGACAUGUGUUUCAUGGGAUAGUAAGAAGCAAAAAUGUGCCUCACACUCUACUAUGGAAGCAGAGUACGUUGCAUUGUAUCAUGCUUUAAGAGAUGCAAUAUUCUGAAGGCAAUUUCUUAGUGAAAUGCCACUAGCCAAUGGGCAUAGGCCUACAAUGAUAUAUUGUGAUAAUCAAGCGGCAAUAACUAUUUUAAAAUACCCAAUGUAUGAUGGCAAGUUAAAGCAUAUUAAGAAGAAAUAUCACUCCAUAAGAGAAUUUGUGGCAAAUAAGGAUGUAGAAGUUAACUAUCUUCCUACACAAUUGAUGGUUCCUGAUCUAUUAACAAAGGGUAUUAAUAUUGACCUAUUUGAAAGGAGUGUGGCUGCAAGGAGACUUACACGAAUUGAUAGAUCAUAUAAUUGAUGGCUUGGUGGCAUGUUAGAGCAUUUGUCAGCCAGUUGAUAAGUCUUUAUGACUAUGAGAUUUUUUGAGUAGCCUCUGUGCCAUUGUGAUGAUUAUGGCUUUUGUGAUAUUACCUGCCUUUGUGGAAUGGAUGCCUUUGUGGCAGAUGUUUGAGCCUCCGAGGGUGGAAAGCUUAGGUCAUUUGACCUUUAAUGGUUAAUUAUAUGAUGAAAAUCCCUUGGAGGGAUGUCGCCACAAACCACCGUCCGCUAGUGUGCAUUUGCACACAUUUCGUCACUAUCCCUAAUUAGAGGGAAGAGAUGUGCUGGUAGUUAUCUGGGCAGUCGAGAAUAUCUUAGUGAGAUGCAUCUCUUUGUGAGAUUUUGUGGUGACUCAUUGCAUCGAUGAAAUGACACCACAUGUGAUGGCUGCAUGUAUGGCAUAAUAAUAGAGGGUAUCCACUGCUAUUUGUUUCUGGAUACCUGGUGGAGAGAUUAUGUAGAUCUAGAAGCAUAUGCAUGUAGUGGUUGAUGAUCACGCAAUAUGUCAUGAUUAUGAUAAGCGUGGGAAAGUACGUGGUUGAUGCCAUUGAGUGAGUGGAUUGUAUGUGUGGAUGGGUAGAUCGAUCACUUAAGGAUGUACAACUCAAGUGAUCACGAUAAACCUUCUUGCUUCAAUGACUAGAUGUUUUAUUAAGCUAAAACCAUAUCGAAAACAGUGGGGGAAUGUUGAAUGUGGUUUCUCGAUGCACUUAAGGGCAGUUUUGAGAUAAUAUAAGUAUUUUUUUUUUUAUGACAAAAAUACCCCAUUUUCACUUAAUGUCAAGCAUACGAAGAUGCUGCCCAUUUGAAUUUCGUGGAAAUGCCCGACAGAGGAAAGGGCUGUAGGUGAUGGCACACCUAUUCUGGUUCUUAUCUAGAGAGGGGCACAAAACAAAGAUCGUUCCUAUUUAUGGGGUCCUGCGUGGUGGGCAUUUGGGAAAGUCAGGUCGCUUGAACGAGACCUAUUCUUUGAAUAGGUGGCCUUUUAUUCCACACUUUCUAAAGCUCCUCCGCUUUUUUUCUUUCCAACCAUUGAAGCAAAUAGUUUUAUAUACAUUGAUGUAGGGUUUGGGGACUUUGGUGUGUUGCACCUCUCGUUCUCUCUCAACAUCCUUGUUCCCUCUCUCUCUCUCACUAAGCAUUUAGAAGUGCCUUGAGUACAAGGGUGCAUCCAUAGCCUGCAAGGGGCACCCUAAUCAUCUAUUGUGAAGCCAUCUUGCUCCAUCACCUCUCUAUUACUUUCUCUCGCUACAUUGCUACUAAUCCCUUCAUGAUUCAGAUUUUCCAGCAAUGUUUGGCAUUUUUAUGAUGCUCUAUAGGUGUCAAUUUACUUGUUCUCUACAAGCCCUAGUUGAAGCAUAUUGGUGAGUUCGUUCCAUAUUUUUAUUUUCUCAUUUUGGUAUGAUUCAAGACUUGGAUAGAGCAUGAAAUAGAGGAUAACAGAUUGGGGGAUUUGUAUUGAUGAUUUGAGGAGCUCUUAUUAUAGAUAUUUGCUUAUGCUUCUUAUGUGAUUGAAUUAUAUGCAUUCAAAGUGUUUAAUGAUAUCUUCAAGUAAGGUUUAAAGAGAGAUCUUGAUCCAAAUCUGAUUGUGUUAAUCCAUAUUGGUAGCCACCUUAAACCGAUCCCAACAGAAACUGUGUUCUGGUUAAAGUUCAAUUUGGUUUUUUAGUUUACUCAUAGGUUAAAUGUUUAGCUGUAGUGGACAUGGUCUCCCUUUCAAGGAUUUGGCAAAGUCCACUUGGACUCGGCCGAGGCGAGUUCCAAGGACCAACUCACCUUUUUUAAAAUUUAUAACAAAACUCACAAGUGUUUUUUAAAAGUCUUCAAUGAAUAAUUUAGAAAUGUAUUUUUAUGUGAUUUAAAUGGUUUUUAUGAUGAUUUGGGAACUUUUCUUGUUACAUGCUCCAUUUUUUUUUCUUUUGUUUUGGUUUUUUUGAAAUAUUUCAAUGUAUAAAGCAAAAUUUUCAAUAAUCUGUCGUUUAUAUACUUUUUGGACUUUUAUAGGCUUUCAAUUGUUGUUUUUACUUAUUUUAUUUUUUUCUGAUUUUUUAAUUAUUAUUGACAAUUUCUUCACAUUUGGUUUUAGAAUAUUUAGCAUUUUAUGGCCUCGUACAGGACUCAGUCAAGUCCACUUGGACUUGGCUGAGUUACUCGGCUUGGGCCAGUGCUGAGUAUGGGCCUGGGCAGAGUUGGAAAACAUUGCUUUGGAUAAUAUAUAUUUUGAUUUCCUACUAAUCAAUGUGUUAGCAAAUAAGAUCUCUCUAUUCAGAUUGUAGGUACUUUGGACCUUACUUUGCUCCAUAUGUCUUAGUCACUAAUUGAGCUACCUUCUUAUUGUAAGAUGGUUGAUUCACCCUGCGAACUAGCCCUUGCUAGAUGGAGAGAAAGAUCAGAAAUGGCUGUUUAGUUACGACCACAUUUCCAGGAAGUAUUUCUCCAUUUAUGCAGCAGACUAGAUUGUUGAAGCCUCUAUCCUUCUGUUUUAUCUGAGGGCUUGAGAGGGUACAUUUCUAAAGUUUCAAUUCUUCCAUAUGAAAUUAUGUCUUUUAGUUUUAAUUCAGGGACACUUUUAUCUGGCGCUGCCUCUUGCAUGAGAAAAGAAAAUGUCUUCCCCAAGUCAACUGGGCCAGUUAUUCGAACCACCUACGCCCAGUCAUUUUACAAAUUGAGUCAUAUUUUGUCUUCAGAUAUUUAGAUUGACAAGGGAUUUUAGGAAACCAAAAGCAAGUGGGCUUCUUGUAUUAAGUUCAAUGGAGUUCUAGAGAAUUUCAUUCCUAGGCUUUUUUUUUUUUUGGGUAAGUAUUACAUUCCUAGGCUUGGCAUUCAAAAUUGAUUUAGAGGAGUCUUGUUCCCUCAUGGUGAUGUCAAUUAUUACUUUUGAAACAAUCCUCCUUUUCUUGGACCAUGAAGAGGGUGUAGAAUGCUUUAUGUGGUCCUUAGCCCUACUACCAUGGUUGAGGAAGUGUUAUAAUGUUUUUUCAUUAGAUUGAUGAAAGCAAAUCUUUCCUGAUUUCAUCAACCCUCGAAAGAAUUCUCUACUCUUGAUGAUCUAGAGAAGCAUUCAACUGAUUAUGAUAUACUGGAUGAGGCCUUUGCCAAGUUGCUAAUGGAUCUUUUGAUAUUUUUUUCUUUUUUGUUGAGUGGAUCUCUGAUUACUUUUUGUGUACUCCUAGAGAAAUUGGAGGUUUUGGCUGAAAAUUAAAUAAGCCCAAUGAUUAUUCUUGAAUAGAAUUAAAUAUAGAGGGGAGUCAUGGUUCCAUUUCUCUGAAGAUUUAACAUGCAGAUGAAAGUAUUGUUCCAUUUCUUUCUAUGGUUUUUAUGAUGAUGAUGGAAGUUAAAAUGUAGAUUGUUCGGAUAAGCUGAGAUUGAAUUGUGGAUAUACUAUUAUAGUCGAGAUUCAAUCAUCUCAAAUCUACAACUGCAUAGCAUAAAAAUACACAUAGGCAUGGUGGAAGCAUUUAGGAUUAGAAAAGAAAAUGUUGAAAAUUCUGCAGAAGGUCCAUGAUAAGAAGGAACUGGCAGUUGGAUGGAGAAAGUUGAGAAAGAGGUAACCAUUAAUGCUACGAAUACAAUGCAGACCUGGGACUUCCACAUGUCAACUUCCCAAAUCAUUCUAUGGUAUGGUUGUAUGGAUUAGUAAAUUAUGGAUUACUAAUAGGCUACAUAUGCUUAACAAUGGAUGUGGGUAUUUGAGGGCUUACCCCUGAUUAGGUCAUGGAGUCAGCCAUUGAAGAGGAUGUAUUUUUUGAGAGAUUGCUGGGUUUAAUUUGAUGGUCCCAGGCCUUAAGCGCUCUCACAUCCAACACUUCAACAUUCAAAAACAAAAUAAAAGCCACAGGUUUCCAUGCCAAAAUAAAAACCUUAGUAACAAAUUCUGUGAUUUUCUAAUCCUAAAGAGAGGGUCUUGAGCACUACAAAGCUCUAAAAUGGUUAGGAGCUCUUCAUGUCAUUCUGAAUAACUCUAUCAAGAGAAAAAUGACCAUCAAACUGGUUAUGGAGCUAGUCCAGUCCAAACUAGGGUGAGGGGCAGUCCAAGUGGCCAAAGUGAUUUCAUCAGAAAUAUCAGCAUCCCAAAAUCACAAAAAGAUGAAAUAAGUUAAAAUCUGCCAACUUUUACGGCCAAUACAAUCUGUUGGGCAUGAACCAGAUGUCUAAGUUGAUCUUUCUAGAAUUUUUUGGAAUCUAGAUCUUGUUUUCACUAUGGUGUGGGCUGUUGUUCGAGUUCCCUUAAUCAUGCUCUUUCUUAUAUUUCCUUGGUCUCCAGGAAUAAGAAAUACUUUAGUAUGGGGCAGCAGAGAAAACAGGCAAAAUUGGUAUUUAUUGGAUAACCCUUGAAUAGACUGGAAAAGGAUCCAAUACCAAUUUCCGGAGCUCUUGCCAGCUUGGCCAUUAUGGUCUUCAUAAUAUUGAAAUAUGGUGUCCUAAGAUGUAACAAAAGCUUAUUUUGUAGCUAAGUGAGAUGAAACUGUUCUUAAGAUAGUAUCUAGCUCAUCUUAUGUGAUUUUGCGACGAUUGAGAGGUAAUGCUUCCAAUGUUGCUCUCUUGAGCGCAGUUAAUUACAUUGUUCAGCUAUAUUAAUCACAGUUUAUUUCUUGUUUUUAUAUGAACUUCAAUGCAUCACAGAUGUUCUUUUGUUGCCUCAAAGGGAAUGGCUAUAGAAGAUAACUGCUAAAUGUUAAAAGGCCCAUCAUGGUGUGGUCUAUUUCUAGCUUCUUGAGAUUAGGAGUUCAAUUUUUUUAGAAAAGGAAGUUUUCCCUUUUUCAUUGAAUGACUGUGAUGCUUUUAUGGAUAGAUCCAACAGAAUAUCAAGCUCUACUUUUUUCAUGAAGCUCAGAGCCUCUACUUCCCUUUCUAGUUAGCUCUGUGUAACUGAAGGAAAAGUAGUUUCUUGACUUCAUAUUGGUGUAUUGUAAGACAUCAUUGGCCUUAAGUGGAACAGUGGUACUGAAAUUAGGGAGCAGUUGUGUUUUUCUGUGCAUGAAUAUAGGACUACUCCUUGACCUCCGUCUUUCAUUUUCUACCUUCGUUCCUUUGGUUUGAGAAGGGAGACAUUUUUGGUAGGAGCUAUUAUGGGAGAGAGAAAUGGUUUUGGUGGAAAGACAAUAAGCACCUAAGGUUACCAUGCUUGCAAAGAUAGCAGCAUCCAUCUCUAAGGAUCUUUGAAUUUUUUUAAAAAACUUGAACUUGGUUCCCGACUCAGAUGGAGCCAAAACCAAGUGACCUCGGUUUCAAUUUCAAAAAAAAAACUUCAUGAGCUUUUUGGUGAAAACCUCUGUAAGCUUUUCUAUUCUGAAAAAAGUAGGCUUUUUGCCAACAAUAAGAUUAAAAAAUAAGGCUUAUACAAAGAGGGAAACUCAAAAGGUACAAGUCUUUUAUUUAUAUAUUCCUGUAUGUCUCAUUUUGUCUUUUAUGUAUAUAUUCCUGUAUAUCUAAUCUUAGAACUGAAAAACUCAGCUUAAACUGGAUUUUGGCAUAAUAGAGCUUGUUCGUGUGCCAAACUGAGUUGAUUCAUGUGAGUGACUCAACUAGGAAUGAUCUUUUCCAAAACUGCCUGGGAAUAUAUAGUGUACGCUUGUAGCAAAAUUGAAAACUUUGGAGACAAUGAAUAUAUCUGCUAUGGUCUGAGAGGUACUCUUACUGAAUGAACUAAGCUGACUCUAUUAUGUGGUACAACAUAAGAGGGUAGUAGAAAGCAAGACCUUUCUGACCAAAAUUGCAUUACGUUUACAAGGAUCACAGAUGUUGCAGGUAUGACAAUAAUAAUAUGCAACACAUUGAUGAUACCAAGUACUCACAUAGUGGCAUAUAAAUGUGUUUUUUUACUACUCUGGGAUUUUGAAUUCCGUGCUUUCUGUAUGAUGCCUUUUCCAUGUAGUAAGAUGUUGGACCUAUUAAUUUGUCUGAAUUUUACUAUUUCAUAAAAGACAGCAUUUUGUAAUGCUUGUACGUAAGGAUUUCCUAACUAGUGUAACAUAGUGUGUAUUAGGCCAUAUGUUUUAAUCAAUUAUUUAUAUGCUCUCCAUUGUAUAAGUCUAUCUGUAUAUUUCCUAAUUUGUUUAAUGAACGGCUAUGCUUGAUGAAUCAAUUUUAUUUUGUACUUCUGGUAACUGUGCUACAGAUUGAAUAUUUUUCUUUGGUUUUUAGCCAAAAGUUGGUGAUGAUCUACAUAAUUCACUGGACUCUAGUACUGCUUUUCAUCCUUUAAUCUUGAACGUAUUUGUACUCAAGUCUAUAAGUUUCGCUCAUACAUAUUCAUUCAACCAACUUCUUGUCUUGUAUCUAGAAUUGUCAUCUUUUUCCCAUGGAAUCCUCCUUGGUUGUUGCCUCGUUGGGGUGACAUCAUAAAGCGUCUUGUUAAGUGAAGUGCUGGCUAUUGUAACUGCCCAACAUUCUAGAGAGGGCCUAACAGUGCAGUUGUAUCCUGAACGAAGUUAUGCGCUGCCUUAUUAAGAAUGAGAUAUCCUUUUUGUUUGCUUUGUGUAUGAUGGCUUGCUCCCAAACUUAGAAGGAAUCAUUUGUUGAGCUUGAGAUCUUGGUAUUCCCGGUGUCAAUAAUAGAUUAGCAAGAAGGAAAUAUAUGUUGAGCUUGAAGAGCUUCCUAUUUCCACAUGGAUAUUAGAUAUACAAAUGAAUGCCAUCUUCUUGUGCUAUGUGUUCAUAUAUUUAGCUGAAGCAAUCAAUUAUUGACCUCUUUUGAUGGUAAGCUAAUUUAUGGGUACCAUGGUUCUGUAUCUCACUUAUGUUUCCUGGGAGUGUCAAUUGGUCCUGAUGUAAUUCUCUGCUGCAGGUAUAUGACUGCUAUUUGGUAGCCCUCAGGCCCUUAGCUAAGAGUAUUAAUGAUUCUUUCCUCGAGGUUUAGAAAAUCAGUGAUAUGCAUGUCGUGGUCCUCGAUGCCUUCUGAGCUGGGUGAAGGUCGAGUUGCCACCAGAAUUCACUUUUCUGUGGCUUGUAACUAACACUAUUUUCUUGCAUCUUACAACCUUGUAGCAUUUUGUGGUAUUAUUGUGUAGACAUUAGCUAUCAUACAUAGCUGUUUUCUUUUUUCUCUCUUUCUAUUGCCUGGUUUUAGUACACCUUAAUGGCACUUGUGGAAACCGGAACCUGUGUAAGCCAUAGGAUAAAAUUUGGAGCUGUUUCAAACUUCUUUUGAGAUAGAAAAUGCGGUAGAGAACUCUAGCAUGAAUUAUCGCUUAUUGUAGUUUGCAAUGGACUGUUCAAGUGUGGAUCUCAUAUAAAGAUAUUGCUGUUCAAGAGUUUCAGCUCUUCUAAAGCUAGUAAAUGGCCGAUUAAGAGCCAACCAUAUUGGGCUGCCAUUGAUUCAAGUCGAUUGGGAUUUGUUGAGUAGCUUAUGUUUGUUAUGGAUCCAUUGUGGUAUACUUCAAUUUUAUGCCUCAUUUCCAAAAUGAAAUGAAUAGAAAAUUCUUCAUGCAAAAAUUCGAAUGCAUUCUUCGUAUGGCCCAGCCUGUAUGCUGCAUAUUUACAUGUCGAUACAGUAUAAUUCAAGCUUUCCCUUGGCUCAUGGAUCGUGAAUGAACUCAUCUUGAAAAUAGUUUCCAUAGAAAUUAUGCAUUACUUUCUGUCUCUUCAGAAUGAUGCUUGCAGUUGAGUGGAAAGCUUGUGGGGAUUGUUCUUUUAGGAAGCAUAGGCUUGGCCAUAGCCAAAAGGCUGGAGCCAUUUGGCUGCACCAUCUCGUAGCACUCGACGACAGGGAAAUCUUCCACACCCUAUACAUUAUUUUCCGAUAUUUUGCCAUCUUGUGUCAGUGAGUGAAAUCCUCAUUGUGGCUUGUCUUCUCACCUACAGAAUAUGCCACAUCAUUAAUGAGGAUGUUCUGUUGGCUUCAGGUAGAAAGGGGGUAGUCAUUAUCAUCGUGCAUGGGGUCCUCAUUAUGAGAGAUAAAUGGUGAGAUGCUUAGUGUAAGGAAAGCAUGGGGGAUGUUGGUCUAGAUGUAUAUGAGAAUGAGCCAAAUGUUCCCAUGAAGCUGUUCUCCAAGGAUAAUGUUGUGCUUUCUCCACAUUUAGCUGUCUCACCUCGGAUUCAAUGUCAGCUCCUGAAGAUGUGGUUGUCACCAAUCUCAUGGACUCCUUUACUAUUAGGCCAUUGUUAUCUUCAGUGGGUUGAAGGCUUUCCUUUUUUUCAAAACCACCAAAAAAAAGAAAAAAUAAAAUAAAAUAAGGGAUCUUGAUCCCUGGAAAAAAAAAAAAAAAAAAAAACAAACAACAACAAAAAAAUUAAGGGAUCUUGAUCCUUGAACAAAAACAAAAAAAAAAAGAAAGAAAAAAACAAAAACAAAAAAAAAUUAAGGGAUCUUGAUACCUGACCAAAUGGGAUCUUAAACCCUACGGAAGGGGAUUGUGACCCCACUGAAAGUGGAAAGUGGAAGUGAGAUCCUGGUUUGAAGGGGAUCUCAUCUUAAAUUUUUGAAAUUUUGAACCCAAUGUCUUUGAGUUUGUGUUGAUUUUUUGUUUUUUGAUAAAUUUCUAGCUAAUAACCACCUGUACAUGAUCUUUGUUAUUUGUUUUCAUGGUCUUAGUUUGCAUCAGCGGUUGAAAGCUGGUGAACUGACAUGGAAACUGGGGUGGCCCUCAGUCCUGAAUCUUCUUGAUCCAAGAUAUUACCCGGUUUAUCCAAAACUGGGUGUUUCCUACUAUAGUGAAUCACCAUGUCUCGCUCAGCUCAGUUCAUUGUAGCGACUCAGGCUGUUCCUAGUUUGGUUCUUAUCAUGGCCCUACAAUCUCAUUUUCCUCAAAUUUUUUAAGGGAUUUUCAGGUUAUAGAGUUCUUACUUUUCAUAAGCUAAAUAGUGAAUAUGGAAUUUUUAUUUUUUCUUAUCACUCACACACACACACACAUAGGAAGCUCCUCAAGCACUCCCAUAUAAAUAUACUGAUCCCAGGCUCCCACUUCCUCGCUAGGUUCCACAUCCACUACUAACAACUAUGGUCCAUUGCCGCCAAAACCUCUUACGUCUUUAGUUGUCUCUUGAACUGUCUUUGUGUUUCUCUGGAAUCCCUAAUCUGUUGGGAUUAUGUCAUCUCAAGGUCUUAAAAUUCUGACAUUGCAAUGGCUCUUGAUUUCAGUGGGAGUAAAAAAAAGCGACAUGACUUCAAUAUCUAGGCGCACUGGGACCAAGAGUCAUGGAACACUGAGAGAGUCAUAAGGAGGAUUUGUAUGCAUGGAAAAUACCAAGAGGGUUGAUGACUAACUCUAGUCAGAGUCGGUUAUUAUUAUUGAGCCUCGUGACUAUGUGAUGGGUCAAGGUGAUGUGUUUUAUGUGAUUUAUGAUAUGAGCUUGAUGACCGAAUAAGCUCUAUAUGGGAAUGUUAAGGCUAAUAGAGGGCAUUGGUCUGAAUCCUUGACUUAUAGAACCUUCUCAUAGUAUGUUCAUAAAACAAUGGCAAAACAUGGGAAGCCGCUCUUCUAUGAUCUAUUGAUAAGAGGUAUGCACAUGUGUCAAGAGAGAGGAGGCCCCGCACCAUGUUUGGGCAUGUCCUAGAGGAGGUGCACCUGAAAUCCUCUAGUACUUGGGGACUCAAGGUCACUCAUUGGAUUCACUUUGAUAAGCUAUAUCAUGAACCCGUAAUUGGAUCAUGAGUUUGUUGGGUCGUACUAAGAAGGUGGCUUUGGAUUCCGAGUCUAGGUGAGUGGAGGAGUGCUCAAAUUCUUAAUUCAGCUCCAAAAUUCUUAAUUACCCUUGGAAAUAUUUUUAAACAGUUUUAAAAUUAUUUAUUUUAAUGGAAAAUGGUUAAAAGGAAUUUUGUGAAUUUUUAAAGAUUUUUUCGUAUUUUUCUGGGCAAGAAAAUGUGUUUUCCAUAAUUGUUUUAGUAAAAUGACGAUCAAGGACAGAUCCCCUCGGGACCCCCAUGAGACACCCAAAUAACCAAUGGGUGUCCACAUGGGCCACGGGGGCCUCCAUGUCAGCCCCACAUGGAGAUGACGUGGGGGUGACUUCAUCCCCACCCCCAACCCCCCCCAUUGAUAGGGCCUUUUAGUCAUUGCGUAGUUUGUUUUAAUGGGGGAUUUUUUAUGAUGUUGAAUUUUGUGUAAUUUUGAAAAUUAGAAAAUGAUUUUAGGCACAUGUUAAAUGCAAAAAAAAAGUGGUACGUGCACAUGUGGGAGCAAUUCUAGAAGGGGCAUAGGGUUUGAUAUUUCAAUUUAAACCCUAAGGGCAUGUGGUAAUUGUGUGUUUGACCAACUUGCACAUGUGGCAUCUUUUCGUUGGCUAUUCAAGCUCUUUCAAAAUGGAGGGAAAGUUUUAAAUUUGAUUUUGCUGGAAUUUAGCCUAAUUACCUUAUGGGUAUGCCGUCUAACUUGGUUUUAAGUUUAAUUAUUUGGAAAGAGCAAGGGUAUUUUGAAUAAGUGGAAUUUGGAGUGAAACAUGGUUUUUAAAAAGGAUGAUAAAGGUGUUUAAAUCUAUGCCACACAUCAAGAUGGCACGAUGGUGAAUGAUGGGCUAGGUUCAAGCUUCUAUUUGUAAGAUGAUGACAUGAAAGGCCUCGAUUCAUUUAUCUAGAAUCAUCUAUACACUUGGUGGCUAGAAGCCUAUAAAUACCCCCUCACUCGUUCAUUUCCUACACACUUGCAUCUUCACUUUCUCUAAGUGGCACACCACUCUCUCUCUCCAUAUCUCCUAAUGUGACCCGCCCAAGCCAAUUUUUCGCUCUCUCUCUUCCUCCAUGAGAUCAAACUUAAGUGAAUGAUCAAUUCUAGUGAGAGAAAGCUCCAUUGAUGGCUCUAUUGAAGAUCAAUUUAAGCUCAAUUAAAGCGAUGGAUGAUCUAGCAACCAAGAGGUCCUUCAAUUGAAUAAGAUCUAAUCCUUCUUCCAUUGAUUUUGAAGUUCUUUCUUGCUGUAAAAUCCAAAUUACAGCAAGGUUUCUUGAUCUCUAAAGUUCUUGAUUCAUAGUUCCUUGACCUAAGAUUGAUUCAUAUGGUUGAUGGCUUCUUCCAUACUUGAUUGAUCUACUUUCUAUGAGAGUUCCUUUGUGAUUUGUGGUGUUUAUUUGACUAAUAUUUUUCUAAGAUUUUGACAUUAAGAUCAGUCAACUAAAACUACUAAUUGAUGGAUCUAAAUGGUGAUUUCACAUCCAUAUAAUUGAUGGCUUCAUCCAUGCCUGAUUGAUCUAGUUUUUAUGAGAUUUUCUUUGUGAAAUUAGGAGAUUUAUGACUGUUAUUUCUCUGAGAUUUUGACAUCAAUAUCAGUCAAUUAUAUCUCAUAUUAAAUGGAUCUUAAUGGUGAUUUUAUAAUGAGAGACUAUGGCAAAAUUUCCUCUUACCAUACUUAUGCGAAACUGGUUCUGUAAUCUAGUCUUUCCUUCUUUCCCAUGUGCCCACUAUUUAUUUGAUCAGUUUGAUAUUUGAAAAAACCUGUCAUUUUUUCAAGUUUAUAUCAGUAGAUGCUUGGCUUCCCACCUUUGAUAGAUUGAAUUUGGCCGGAAUUUAAGAUAUGCGAUCACAUGUCACACUAUGGUACAUAGCUAAAACCUAAGACCUGAAAUGCACACCCAAGAGCUCCGAUUGGCUUCCCAUGAAUAUUUAGCGUUGUUUACUUGAGCAUUUGUUUAUUGUAAUAUGGAGAUCAUGAUUUGAUGAGUUUUAUGGUGUCAUAUGAUGUAUAAUUUUGCAUUGUAAAUUUGCAUGUUACUGAUUUUUAGAAGCACCUCAUACAAGUGUUGUACAUUGAUCUCUUUUGUGUAGUCUUAAGUUUUCUUGGAUAAGGGAUCCAAAUUGAGUUGUAUCCUCUUUGUGUUUGAGUCUAUAAGAAGUGUUUGAUGACUGUAAUUUCAUUGAUGUGGUUGUAAUUGACGCUUGUAAUGGCAUUUGUGUUGUAACUUGUAAGAAUUUUGAGUUGCAGUGUCAAGAUUAUCAUACAUUGUCAAGUAUAAGUUUUUGUAUUUUGGCUUCUAUACGCCCUCAUAAUCGUCAUUAAGAUCCAGUUAUAGAGCACUUUCACAGGUGAGAUGCCAUCUAUUUAUUUGCCUUGCCUGCAGAUCAAGUGGCUACUCAAUGUGGCAUAAAAUUCAUGAGUGAAAUCAUAUCUCUCAGCUUUUAGUGGUUGUUCGCUUCAUAGGUUGUGUGUACACGAUGGUUGAUGCAAAACAUGGUUUUCUCAUUACUAACUUUCUAGACAACAAUGGUUGCAGUUGAGUGGUAAACAUGUGGGGAUUGUUGGCCUGGGAAGCAUAGGCUUAGCCAUCGCUAGAAGGUUGGAGCCCUUUGGCUGCACCAUCUCUUAUCAUUCAAGGACAGAGAAACCCUCCACGCCAUAUACAUACUUUCCUGACAUUGCCAUCUGGCAUAUGUGAGUGACAUUCUCAUUGUGGCUUGCCCUCUCAAUGACAAAACACACCACAUUGUGAACAGGGAUGCUCUGUUGGCACUGGGGAAGAAUGGGGUGCUCAUCAAUGUGGCUCGUGGUGCUGUCAUUGACGAGAAAGAAAUGGUGAGAUGCUUGGUUGAAGGAGAGCUUGGGGGUGCAGGUCUUGACGUAUUCGAGAAUGAGCCUCAUGUUCCUCAUGAACUGCUCCUCAUGGACAAUGUCGUGCUCUCUCCCCAUUCUGCUAUUUUUACCUCAGAAUCACUUUUAGCUGCUGAAGAUAUUGUCCUGGGAAAUCUCAAGGCCUUCUUCUCAAAUAGGCCAUUGCUAUCUACAGUGGAGUGAAGGCCAUGCUUUGUUCCUUUGACUGUCUUCCAAGUUCCGAGUAGUAAUGGAAUGGAAAGCAGCAUGAAUGACUACCUCAAUCGACCAUGCCAUGCCAUCUUAAGAAAUUUGGUAGGCUAACCGUGGCGGUAUCCUCUUCCUGAAGUGCACAUGGAGCCCCAAGAGUACUACACUCUCCAAAAACUCUUGGUUUUAUGCAGUAGUAAAUUGGGUGUGAAUUUCCCUAAAAAGGUUUUUUGUUAUUUCUGUGGGGUCUUGUAAUUGGCAGUGUUAUCACGGGGUAAAACGAGUGCCUUUCUGGAUUUUCAUUUGAGAAACUGUCUUGUGGGGUGAGGACAAGGCAAGUGCAGAAUAAAAUGUUUCUUCACAAACAUUGUGAAAUCACGUUAGUGUUCCCUCAUUCAUAAAAAUAGAGCUUUGUUGUGUAGGAGUUCUAUUACAUUGGCUUACAUUCUGCCAUUAAUUAAUGCUGAUGAAGAUUAAAUGUACGAAUUGAAAAUUUUAACUGAAUGCAGUGGUUCUUUUUGUACAAGAGCCCUUUUCCUUUUUCUUUCACAGUUAAUUUAAAAUAUAGUGAGAUGCAUCUUUCUAUAUUUUAAAUUAACCAUGACCCGGAGCCAUUCCUGCUCUUGAUCCCGGAGCCCUUCCCACUCUGGCUCCCGGUAACUAUAGUUUGGAGGUGUGCCAUUCCCACUCUGGCUCCGGUAAAUAUAUUAUAUAUUUGAAAUAAAUUCUCUACGGUCUGAAACUUGACUCAACUGCUGACUGUAGAGGACACACGGAUGGCAGAUCAUUUCCUCUUCCCUUUUAAUUCGACCCCUCGGCUUUUAUGUAUAUAUAUAUAUAAUUUUAUUUUUCUCUAUACCAAAUUUAUUACUUUCAACUAUUCAUUUUCAGUUGCUUUCAGAUUCGCCACAUUUAGAGGAUCUUCAAAUUCAUAAUCAAAAUUAGAUGUUCCAGCCAUCGUUUCCGGCUAUAUUUAGAAAGGGAAAAGUUUGUAGAGGGUGUUAGCAUAUCCUUGGACCAAGGGUGGCAGCUGGCUGGGUUGGCCCUGAUGCCCCCCAUGGCCAAUGCUAAGAUCGGGUAGGUGAAAAACAAAUAAAGAAAAAAAAAAAAAAAUUAAAGAGAAAAAAAGGGUCAGCUGGACCAAAGCUGGCCGACACUGGCCGUAUCUCGGUUCUCACGCCCCAAUUUUGUAGUCUAGGCCCUACUUUCUUUGGGCCGGGGUAACAGGAUCGGGCUCGCCCCUGCCUCUUGACCCAUGGCCAGUACAAUGACCCUCGUCGUGGGUAAGGCGUGGUCCCAAACCAAAUCUCCAUGCACGCACUGCCACCUGUCUCCGUCGUUGUGGCCGUACGCCUUUGUUAUUUCCAUCUGACGCGAACCAUGUCGUCCCGCACUACACAAAACACCACAAAAUCCGUACGAUCCCAGCCGUCCGUCAUCCUCCAAAGACAAAACAACAUAGAAGGGAUUAAGUCGCAGAUCGAUCAAUUGACCGAUUACGUGGCACGCGGAAAUAACGUCCUUCCGACACGUUUCAUCGUCAUCCCGCAGAUAUUUUCUGGAUGGAUUCCGAUGUCCUAGAACCGCCACGUGUCACACCACCAUCGACCCAAACUCGAAUCCGACAAUCGUGUCCGCGUCUGCAUCGCCGACUCCCAGAUUCACUAACCGACACAUGCGCAAAUGUCAUACGCUAGUGCCCACGUGUCGGUCCAUCAUAGGUACAGUUAAAGCAUAUAUCUGUAAUGUUCCAACCGACACGUGUAUUCCCCUGUUUAGGGUUUAGGGUUUUAUAUAGCGGAGUCGCGAGUGAAGCAGCAGGAAAAAGAACAAAAAGAGAGAGAGAGAGAGGGGAAUCGAAUGGAUUUAAAAAAGCAGAAAAGGUGGAGGAGGGAUGAGGAAGAGCGCGGGUUUCUAAACGAGCGGGUGCUAAUGCUGGUGUUCAGGCGGAUGAAUUGGGAGCCCCACGCCCUCAGCCACGCCGCCUGUGUGUCGAAGAAGCUCGAGGCUGUUGCGAAGCGGCUGCUGUGGCGCGAGUUGUGCGUCGCGCGGGCUCCUCGCAUUGUGGCGGCCCUCACUGCGGAGGCACCGUCUGGGCGCAUUGAUGGCGGGUGGCCGGCCCUCGCGAAAUUGUUCCUCUUCUGCUGUGGGUUCCGGCCCUCACGUCACUUUAAAACUGAGGCUUGCCUCCCGGGCCACUCUGUGCACCAGUCCCGGUUCUCGAAGACGUCGGGAAAGAGCUUCCUGUUGAGGCAAUGCAGGGGGGAUCUGUUGUAUGUGAGCGACCCCUGCGAGCAUAGCAUUGGGCACUGUGAAGAUGAGAUUGGGGUGUAUAGAGGAGUGUUCAGGAGGUUCGGGAAGUCGAGGACUUUGGCAUGCUUGAUAAGGCGGAGAGUGAGGCUGGAGGCUGGGACUGUGUGCCCCUACUGCCGGGCCGGGGUGUGGAGCAUGACAGCGGCAGGGAUGGUGCCGAGGAGUGCGGCGCGGAGGCUGGGGGCAUGCGAUGGUUGCCUGGAGUACUUUGUGUGCGUCAACGGCCACUUGCAUGGCAGCUGCUGGCUGGUGCCCUUGUCCGCCGACGAAGGUGAUGAUGAUGACGCCGAAGAUAUCGGUGAUGAGAAGCCUAACAAAAUCUCGGGCUUUUGCAAUUGAGAGGUUUGAUUUUGGGGCCGGGAAGUACACGAGAGGACACUAUUUUUUGAAGCUCCCCUCCUUUUCCCUGCUAUUUGUGCACUGUAAGAUUGGUGUGUGAACAUUUAUUCAAAUAAAAACUCCUUCCCUCUACUUUUUCCUCCUCGGUGGGUCGGAAUCUACUGUUUUUGUUGGCAUUAGGGGUCGGGUAUGUCCGAGUAGAUAUCACAUAGCCCCGGUGGGGUCUGUAUACCGCACUUUUUUUUAAAAUUAUUGCUACAUGGUUUCUUCCUCUGUUUUCUGAGUUAUUAUUAUGUUUUUUUUGGUGACUUCCUGAUUUAUUACAGAAUUCAAUGCUCCUUUUCCCGCUACGUACCGUUUUCAGUUUCGGGGCUACGCAAAAUCUAGAGACGAAAGUGUCACAGUCACCACCCAUCUUAGCAAGUGGUGCGUGCCAUCUCUCUCCGUUACUGCCUCUGGACGGUGAUGACACUCGUUGACCAUAGAUUUUUUUGUUCAUAGAGACCCAGUGAUCCGUCCUCAAAUAAUUACCGUACUAGGGAAGAGCGACACAAGGUGAAGCUUUAUACUUUGAGAAAAUACCUCCAAUCAGAGUCUUAGUCUUAGUCUUAGUCUCCUCCAAAAUUCCUUUUUAUUCCCACCAACCCUUCAACUCUCUAAACCUCCCUCACACACACGCAUUCUCUCUCUCUCUCUUAAGCCCCACCUUCCCUCAACCUCUCUCUUUCUCACCCCUUCACAAUUUUCAUGAUUUUUGUUUUUCUUUUCCCCUUUUUUGUGUGUUGUUUUCAUUGUCCUGCAAAUUGAGAAAACAUUGCACCCAAUUUAGGGGAAGAUAGGGCAAGUGAGAGACAAAUGCAAAUUGGCAAGAACAUUGCCCAAUUUGGGAGAUGGGCCACAGAGAGGCAGAGAGAGAAUAAAAAGAAAAACAGACAAAUUGAAUUUAGGCUUGCGUAGUUCGCAAUGCUAUAUUUCAAGUUGAAUCCUUUUGAACUAUUAAAAAAAAAUAAAAAUAAAGUGGAAUUCAGAGUUUUGUCGAGGGCAAAGAUGAGCCAUUAAAGUUAAAAAAUAUGGGGAGGAAGGAGUUACCACGAGUAAUUUUGAAUCAUAGAGGGAAUAGUAGGACCAUGAUACUAAUUCUUGGGGUCACGGAAAUAUUUCCAUUAUAUGUUGACAAUAAACUGCAACAUUAAUAAAAAACCAAAAAUGCAUUUAAUAAGAUUAUUUAUUUUAGAAAAAUGGAGCCAAAAUCGUUAUUGACUGCAAGAUGUGAAAUAAGUGACUGUGGUAAUAUCAUUAACUCAACAUGAAAUCUAAAUAACAUUUCUCAAACUUUGUGAUAUAUUUUUAAUUAUUGGACGUCACAUCAGAUGGUUGUUGAUCUUUUUAUACCAAAAAUUAAAUGAUCCUAUAUUUGUUAUCGGUAGCUUCUAAUAAUUGCAUAAAGUGAAAAUUAUUUUAUUUCUGUUUAUCUUUUGCAUUCAUCCUCAUAGCUGAAAUUUUUAAGUCAUCUAAAACUUCCCCUAUCAGUCCGACAAUUUUUUUUUUCAACUGUUGGAGGGUCGACCUCGGUUCCAAGAACUUUCCCCAAUAUCGAACGCGCCUUAAAAUAUAUCUUUCAAAAUGAGGUAAAACAUUCACCCAAAGGAUGAAAUCUAGAAAAUUCAAACCAGAGGUCAAAAGAGCUCGGCCCUCAUUUCCUUGCUUUCUUCGAAGUCAAAAGAGUGAUGAAGCAAAGUGUCUGAUUACUUCCCAUCUUUCGGAUUAUCUGCUCCUUACGGUAGGAAACUUAUAUUUCCAGUAAUAUUUUGUGCCGUAGAUGGCACAUUAUCCGCGUUUAUAUCCGAAAUUUUGGAACAAAAAAGUAUUUCCGUAAAAAAAAAACAUUAUUUUUCUCAUUUCAAGCUAAAAAAAAUAAAGAAAUCUAUGUUUUUACUCUCAGAAAUUGAUUUCUAGUCUGAUUUUCCCCUACAAUCAAUUUUGCCAAAACACACCUAUAAAUUAAAGAGAGAAAUUAUCUACGAGAGACAGAGAGAGAGAUCAUUAUGGCAAAAAUUUUUGGUAAGCUAGAAUGUUCCAUACAAAUGAACCUGACAAAAACUUGGCGGUGAUUCAGCCCAAUUAUUUGGGGAUCUUUAAAGCAGGGAUCUCUUUAUUUAUAACCAGCUAGCAAUUCAACAAUAUUAAAAAUAUAAUUGCAUUGCUAGCCACCUAUAAAUAAAGAAUCAUCUGUUUGAGUUUUUAUCUUGGUCUUUAAGAUGGGGAUCAAGAUUCCUAAAAGUAGGUAACAGUAUUCCAAAAUUUGAAUAUCUCACUCUCUUAAAGAUCCCUAUCCUAAAGCGUUGGAGUGAGAUUCAGGAGUAUAGGUGUGGCGAUUGGGCUGGGCCAACUUGUCGACUUGAUAGGUCAACCGGUCCUUGGUUUAGUUUUGGACACAAAUAUUUGGACCCAAUGGGUCAAGUCAUAUUUGGAUCCAGUGGGUCAAGUCUAGGUAUGGAUCCUUCCUAGAACUUUCAAUCCGAACAAAACCGAUGCGGUUUGAUAUUUAUAUAUAAUAUUUUGGUACACAUCACAAAAUAUUUGUAAUAAAAUUCAUUUUUCUUUUAUCCAUGCAAAUACCCAACGUGGCAAGUUGGUUCUGGGUCCAAUAGCUUGGACCUCACAUGAAUUUGGAACGGGUCCUCGUCGAACUCCAAUAGGGUCCGGGUCAAUCUGGACCCAACCCUACACAUUAACACCCCUACUAGAGUGAGAUGUUUCCUUUCUAAGCAAAACAUCCACUGAACACAUGUAGAGGAUAGAUCUUUCCUUUCUAAGCUGCCAAAAAGAUUGCAGGGAAUCACUCUCCAUAACAACCUUGACAUAAAUAUGAACAACAGACAAAGGAAUUGAACAUCAGCAGCAAACAAAUAAUAAAGGAACCAAAUGUAACACUUGCCAUUUUUUAAGGAAUCUCCAGAAACAAGAAGCAAUUGGGUUCCAUUUCAAGCUCUCUAUGAAAAACGAACGAGAAUAAAAGGUGAUCACCAGCCUAGGAUUCAAACCUAAACAUGUAAAAAUUUGGGAUGGGAAUCCCUUGUCAAGCUCAACCAAUCUCUUAAAAUCAACAAAUCCAACAUCUAGCGCAGUUGGCAUAUCAAGCACCUAUAAUACUCUCUGGCGAUAUGAUAUCAAUCAAACUUGAACAAAACAUUAGUAUCUAAUUGCAUAUCCAAAGUAACCUGAAAGCAUCGCUAGAGAUCGUCCCAAAUGUAUCAAGCAAAAAGGCAAGGGAAUAAAAGAAGACUCAAAAUACCCCAUCCUUACAUUGAUCGCAUCUGCAAAAGACCAAACACCAUGGAAAAGGUCACCUACAACCAAGACUUUGUAACCAAUAAAAAAGCCGAUUCAUGAUUUACCAUUAUUAAUUCUUACCCCUCGUUUCCAUUCAUAACUUCGUAGAGGAAAUAUAGGAGGUGUCACAAUUAUACAACCGUUUCUCAUAUCUCACCAUUCAUCACAAAGAGAGUUUAAGAUUCUAAGUCAAGCCCCUUUUUCUCAGCUCAUUGAUUUAUGACCAUGUAGGAGCACGAAAACAGAAUUCACGACUCACCAAACCAUAUUGAAUCUGCAGUGUUUCAUUAAAGAAAUGACCACACAAAUACAUGCCUCUGAAUCUCUUCUACUGUUUAUCUUGUUAAAGAUCCAGUUAUACCUUUUUUAUAAACUUUAGCAAUUUAGGUUUCAUUAAAAUUACUUAUAAGGGCAUUUUUGUAAUAUGUAUCCCAUCAUCUAUUAUUAGCCGAUCCCAAAUAGUUAGGAAAAUGCUCUGAUGAUGAUGUAUCACAUUGUUUACAGCGUGAAAUCGAGAUCUCAAAUGUGAGAUCCCCUGAUCUAUCACUAUGAAAACUAAUUAAUUAAAUUUUUGAUAGAGAAGUGGGAAUGGUCGAAUUAUGAUUUAAAGACUAAUUAACAUCAAUAGGCCAAUUUCUCUUCAAAUCAUUAGCAGUGCCAGUAUGAUAUUUUCGCCAAAAUACAGAAAAUCUACUGCAAAAUUAAAUCUACCUAAAAAGAAUCAAAAUAACUAAAAUUAAAGAAGAGAAGGACAUAAAAGUUUACUUGCCAGGCCAGGUGGCCUGGGAUGCUUGAAGUUGGUGGUGCUGCCCGUAUCAGGAUCGCAGGGUAUUUAUGCAUCCUUUUCUUGCCUUCACUUUUCUCUUUGAAAUUGGUUGGCUUUUCACUCUGAAAUCUGUUGGAAAUAUUGGCUAUGGAUGAUUGAGAGAGGUUAAAAUUCAAUCUAGGGUUUCGUGGCUUAGAUCUAAGGUCAUGGCUUCUAGGAUAUAGGGUUUGAAAUAUGUAGGGUUUGAAAAUUAAAGCUCUAGACUAAGUUAAGAGGAUCUAGGCUAGGGCAUUUUUCUCUGGAGUUUGGUUUUAGAAAACUAAGGUUUUGGUAUCUCAAGGGUUAGGCUUUUUAAUUCUAGGUUUUCUCUAGGAAUCAGGUCUCUAGAUCUAAAGUUAUGGCUCUCCCCUUGAAUGACCCGAAUAGAACCAUUAUAUAGGCUUCAAAAAUCGAUUCUAAGUUGACUGGGAAUGAUUCACAAUAGAUUUUUACAGAAAAUUUGAGCUUAUCGGGUCAAGAGGUCUAAACGCCACAAAACACGAUGUUUGUAGACUUUUGGCCUAAACAUCGCAAAAUGUGGUCUUUUAAGAUAAAGUUGCCCCGAGAUUUCGCUGAUCUACUUGUUUUUUAUCCAAAUUUUGUAUUUUCUUGAUUCUUACUUAUUCCAAAAACUUCUAUCUACAUUGGUUUUCCUAUUUUCUAGUGUUUAGGAUAACUUUCUAGAUUUUAAGAUGGUUUCCUAGGGUUUUAGGAUUAUCUUGGAGAUUCUCUAAGAUAUUCUAGAAGGUUGGGACCAUGGUCUGAGGGACAAUGGACCACAGAAAAAAAAGUAGACUAUGGUGAAUUUGGGUAAGAUGGUCUACUAGGCAUUUCUUGGGUAUUUUUAGGUAUUAAAUUUUUUUUUAAAAUAAAAAAAUAAAAAAAGUAGCUAAAUUCAAAAUGGGGUGUCUACACACAUCAUCUAUUAUAAAUAAGAGAUUAAGUGGUACGUGGUUAAUAUCUAACCUAAGGGGAAUUAGAUCGACAGCACACACCUCCCAUUUCUUUCUCUCUCUAUCAUACCACUCUCUUCCUUUCUCCUCGUCUCACUUCUUCCUUUUUUCUUCUCUUGUCUUCAUCGUGUUAUUUGAUGUUUCCUAACAUGGUAUCAGAAUAGAUCUUAUAUUUUCAUCAUUCCCUUUCCUUGAACCCUCUAAAAAAAAAAAAGAGGUGAAAGAAGGGGAAAAAACAGGAAGCCUAACCCCGUUGGUGCUGAUCUUGUAAAAGUAGUACCGAGUUGUCCAUUUUUCUGAAUGUAGGGCCAGUAUGGUGCCCUGCAGGUGUUGUAAAUGUUUGUGUUACUGAAGUUUCCUCUCUUGGAUGUGGAAAGUAAGGAGGAAUGGUUGCUGAAAUGUCUCAAAGUGUGUAGCUGAAGCAAUAAAAUGCUUGUUGGGGUUCAUCCAUGAGUUUUAGCAUAGAGAUCUUUGAACAUCAAUGCUUGAAUGAUAAGUAUUCUUUCCAUAAGUGAUUGAAAAGUUGUUGUUUGUGCAUUCCUUUCCCUUACAAACUGCCAUUUUUUUGGUGAUUCAUUGAAUCUUAUACAACUCAAUUUAAUUUUAUAGGGCUUCUAAAUAGUUCUCGGCUUGAUAUAUCCUUGCAUACCUUUUUUUCCUAUGAUUUUCUUGCCCAUGUGGCUGAAGAAAUUAAGCCUAGAAUUUCCACAACUAGACAUGAUAGGAAUUCUAGCAACUGCUGUAAAAUUAAAUGCCCUAAUUACGUCUUAUGGGCCGAGUCUAUAAACAUACUUCUAGGUGCAAGGGGUAAAAUGAAGUUUUUGACUAAAGAGUCAGAAAUGGGUAUGACCAGAGGUUCAAGGAAAACUAUCAAACUAUGAACUUGUUAUGGAAUAAUAUGGAACAUCAUGAGAGUGCUAAUGUUAUGUUAUUGGAUACUACCAAGGAAGUGUGGGAGGCUGUUCAUGAGAUGUGAUCUUCCAACAAAAAUAUUUCUCUAAUUUCUCAACUGUAUGAGAGCAUUUUUCUUUUUUUUUAAUAGCAAGGUUAAAAGAGUAUUAGUGAUUACUCUAGAUUUCUUCAAAGUAUGUCGGAAGAGUUAAACAUGUGUUAACCCCUAUCAAAUGAAAUGGAGCUCCUAAAGAAGCAAAGAGAAGAAUUUAGAGUUGCAAAAUUCUUGUCCGGUCUAAGUUUUGAGUACCAUUUUGUUCGUGUGCAGAUCUUAGCUAUUAGUGAACUUCCUUCUCUCAACAACGUGUACUCGUGUCUUCAACAAGUUACUAUAUCUACUCCUCCAUCAGCUGCCAAUACUAGUGAUGGAUAUGCCUUGACUUCCUCCAUGGGCAAAGGUGAUGGUAGAGUCUAUGUUGUUGGAAAUAGAGGAUGUGGCCGUGAUUCAGGGGGAUGUCAUGCUAGAGGCCAAGGCACCAGGAAGUACACCCAUUGUUGAUGGACCAAUCACAUGGCUGAGAAAUGUUGAGAUUAGUUUGGUAAGCCUACUUAGUCUAAUCAAGCGGCGUAUGUUUCUAAGAGUGAUGAAAUGCAUCCAAUUGGCUCCAAUGAUAUGAAUCAUGCUCUUAAUUUUGCCAGUGACUCAAUUUUUCUCGAAGAAUACAAUAAGCUAAUCAAGAAUAGUGACCAACAACCUCCUAAUGCCUCCUUUUCUACUGCCACUCUGGCAAAUGUAGGCAAUUCUGCAUUUCUUGUGUCUCAAAGGCCAUCUCCCUGGGUUUAUUUAUUCAAUCAGAUUCCACUACUUCUGUUACAUUAGCUGAUGAUUCUUUACCUAGUGUCUAGACAUCUUGUAAAGGCAUUGUCUGUCCUACUAGUUUCAUUGUCACUUGUUCUAGCUUGUUGUCAAUCAGUAAACUAACCGAUCCCUCGGUGUUCAGUGACUUGGUAAUGGUUGUGAGUCUGGUGAACUACUCUCUCGGUCAUAGUUUUGUUAGUUUUGCUCUUCAUUCUAGUGUUUUUCCUCUUCAAUGGCAUUGUAGGCUUGGUAAUUCAUCAACCAAUAAUUUGAAAUUGUUAGUUCCUUCAUUAGAGUGAGUAUUCACCCUAAAAUGUGAGGCUUGUGAGUUAGGCAGGCAUCGUAGGAUUCCUUUACUCCCAAGAGUCGGUAAAUGAAGAUGUAUUCUUUUGGCAAUUGUUCAUUCAGAUAUUUAGGGUCCUUUUAGAGUUCAGAGUCUGUCCAGAUACAUUCUAAUUUUUGUGGAUGAUUUCUCUCGGAUGAUGUGGAUAUAUUUAAUUAAAAACAUAUAUGAGGCAUUGAUUUUUCAGCUCAUAGUUUACCGGAAGCGAAUCCGAAACCAAAUUGAUUUAGGAAAUGGAAUCGAGGAAUCACCACUAGCUGAAAGAUUCAUGUCUUUGGAAUCGACAUCUGUACAAGGGAAAUCAUUGGGGACAUGAUUCCUAGUUUUAAGAAUCGAGAUUUGACCAAAAUGGAAUAAAACCCUACAUAGAUGGAACCUAGAUUCCUAAUUCUUUGGAAUGGAGUUUCCAACCAAGUUGGAAUCGACCAAUAUGAAAUUGAGAUUCUUUCAUUUAUAGAAUUGAUAUUAUGUCAUCUUUGGAAUCGAGAGGGAACUAAGAGGGAAACAAUACAUGUCUCAAUGCCAUUCAUUGAUCGACAUGCUAUACACGUACAUUUACAUUAUUUUUAUUACAUUAUUUCUAACAUCUUGGAGUCGCAAUCUCUCCAUUGGAUCAAUACAUUGCAAAUUUAAAGAAUUAAGUAGAGAACAUUGGUCACUACUUUGGUUUCUAUUGGUCAUUUUAUACAAAAAGGAUUAAUGCACCUUGUAACUUGAGAUCAGGUGCAAGCUAGUAGUUUGAUGUCUUGAAAACUUCUAAACAUCACUCUCAGAAAAAGUAAAAAGAAAAAGGAAGUGGUAGAAUUUCAAUAAAUAUGGAAACCAAUUUCAACAAGUGUAGAAUUGAGAUUCACUAAUUGUGGAAUAGAAAAUCAAUAAAUAUUUGAAAACGAUAUUCUAUAAAUGUUGGAUUCGAGAUCUCUGUGAGGAUUCCUUGUUAGAAUCACUGAAUCAGGGUUUCGAAUCGGAUUAGUGACCUUCGGUGUGAUAUUCAAGUAACUAUGUUUCAGUUAUUUCAUAAAGGAAUUCAUACUCAUUUGGAAAGAAUUUGCAUUCAAAUAAUACUAGAGAAUAUUUAUCCCAAGUUUUUCAAAAAUAUUCAGCCACACAUGGUCUUUUGCAUCAAGCAUCGUGUACACACAACUAGGAUGGGGUGACAGAGAGGAAAAUUCGUCAUAUAAUAGAAAUAACUCAUGCUUUAUUGUUAAUAUUGCAUGUGCUAAGGGAUGUUGUAUUGAUUGGUAGUUAUUUGAUAAAUCACAUGCCUUCAUCUGUUUUAGAUGGAAAACCACUACCACACAUGGUAUUUUGCAUCAAGCAUCGUCUACACACAACCCUAAAUAGGAUGGGGUGACAGAGGGGAAAAUUCGUCAUAUAAUAGAAAUAACUCAUGCUUUAUUGUUAAUAUUGCAUGUGCUAAAAAUUUAUUAGGGGGAUGUUGUAUUGAUUGUUAUUUGAUAAAUCACUUGCCUUCAUCUGUUUUAGAUGGAAAAUCAUCACACUCUCUACUCUUUCUUGAUAGACCAAUUCCUCAUCGAAUGUUUGGGUGCGUUUGUUUUGUUCAUAUUCUGGGCCUAGUAUGGACAAAUUAGACCCUUGAUCUGUUAAGUGUGUGCUUUUGUGAUAUUCUCAUACAUAAAAAGGUUAUCGAUGCCAUCAUCCUGGUUUGAGGAAAAACCUUUUUGUAUUGACAUUACCUUCUAUGAAAAUACCCCAUAUUUUUCUGAUGAGGUAUAAGAUCCCACUCAAAGAGAGAAUUUGAAUGAUGGAAAGCCCAUUUCUUCUUCCUCUUCCUUUCCUAUUCCUAUUACUAUUGGCAUUCUUAUAGAUAACUCUUUGUCAUCAUCUUAAGUGUCUAUUCCUCCAAAGUAUGCUAUUAUUAAUGCUUCACAGGUGCAGCGCCUCAAAACAUAUACGCGAAAGAAAGUGAAGGAAGUGUCGUCACCACUAGCUUAAUCAACCGAUCAAUCUUCAUCUUUGUCUACUGAUCCACUCCUUGUUCUAGAGCCCACUCAUGGGCGUGACAAUGUUGAUCUUUUGAUGGCACUUCGUAAAGGUUAGCAAUCUUGUACUAAAUAUCCAAUUGCUCAUUUUGUUACAUUUGAGAAUUUGUCUUCUCCCUAUAGGAAUUUUGCCUUCUGAACCUAACUCCUAUUCAAAUGUUCUUCCACAUACCAAACAGGAAAGAGCAAUGGAUAAGGAAAUGGCUGCACUUCAUUCAAAUGGCAUGUGGGAGCUUAAUGUUCUACCAGCAAGAAAGAGAUUGGUUGGAUGUUGUUCGGUGUGUACAAUUAAAUAUCAGCCAUAUGGAUUUAUAGAGAGGUUAAACGCCAGGCUAGUGGCAAAGGAAUAUACAAAAACCUUUCUUAUUGAUUAUUUUGAGACAUUUGCUCCAGUUAUGAGCUUAACUAUGUUCAAGUGAUCAUAUCUCUCCAAAAAAAAAGAGAGUGGCUAUUGUAGUAACUUGAUGUUAAGAAUGCCUUCCUUCAUGGUGAUUUACAAGAAGAGAUGUAUAUGGAGCAACCACCAAGGUUUGUGGCUCAAAGGGAGUUAGAAAAAGUAUGUAAGUUGAAGAAAGCAAUUUAUGGACUGAAGUAGUCCCCACACGUAUGGUUUAAGAAGUACAGUGAAAUUGUUAUAGCAUAGGCAUUUCAACAGAGCCAUGUGGAGCAUUUAGCUUUUAUCCAGAUACUAUACAUUGGAAUUAUUGUGUUAGUGGUUUAUGUUGAUGAUAUCAUCAGUACAGGGAGUGAUCAAGAAAGAAUUAAUAAGUUGGAGGGUUAUCUAUAACAGUAUGUUUAGAUAAGAUAUUUGGUACAACUGAGGUAUUUCUUAGAAUUGAGGUAGCUCAGUCCCAAUUUGGUAUUUGUCAAUUUCAAAGGAAAUAUGAAACAAGUUUUUUGAUAGAAAUUGGGAUGUUUGGUGCUAAGCCAAGUUAAUAAACCUAUAGAUCCAAGUACUAAACUAUGAAAGGAUCAUGGAGAUUUAUUGGGAGACCCUGGUAAAUACAAAAGGCUUGUAAGUAGACUUAUCAACUUGACAAUCACUCAGCCAGAUAUAGCUUUUGCUAUGAGUUUGGUGAGUAAAUUUAUGCAUUCUCCCAAUACACCACAUUGAGAAGCAGUGAGGAGGAUUUUGAGAUAUCUGAAAGGGGCUCCAAGUCGAGGACUCAUCUAUAGGAGGAAUGACCAUUUUAGCAUCGACAUCUAUUCUGAUGUUGACUGGGCAGGGUCUCAAUAAGAUAAAAGAUCUAAUACCGGCCAUUGAACAUUUGUUGAAGGAAAUUUGAUGACAUGAAAAAACAAGAAGGGGUUGUGGAAACAAGGUUUAGUGCAAAGGAUGAGUAUAGAUCAAUGGCUCGCACUGCAUGUGAACUAAUGUGGUUAAAACACCUUGAUGCAGGAAAUGAGAUUCUCAUUUGUUGAGCUGAUACAGAUAUUAUGUGACAAUUAGGUAGCCAUACACAUAUCACUAGCAAUCCAAUUUUUCAUGAGAGAAAAUAAUGUAUUGUGGUAGUGUUUAUGAUGAAAAUAUGACAGAUCUUCCGAUGAAGAUCCCUCGAAUUGUAACACCUUAAACUAAUUAAAAAGAUGUAAAUAAAGUGGUAGAGCAAGUGUGACAGAUCGAAUUCAGAUCUGAGGCCAGAUUUGCCCGAAAAACGAGCAGAUCUACUCUCAGAUCUGUGGCAGAGCCAGCAUGAUCCAGAACAUUAAAAUAUAAUUUUUAGAACAAGUUAGUAGAUAAAAAAUAAAUAAAAGAAGAAAAACAGUAAAAAGAAAAAGAAAGAAAGAUGAAAAAAUAAUACCAAACUGAGUCGGAUGGUCCGAGAUUCCCAAGCCUUCGAGGGCUUGCCUGUAUAAGAAUCAAUCCUCUUUGCCUCUUUGAUUCGAAUGUUGACCAGCAGAUAUUUGGUGUAAAGGGUUAGAUAUAAGGUUGUUGUGCCCUAAUUCUAGUUUUGAUCUAGGGUUUUUGUGCCUUAGGUCUAGGUUUUCUCAGUCUUGGGGGUUAGGACUUCAGGAGGCUAGGGUUUUUAUCUUCUCUAGGGUUUUUAAUCUAGAGAUUUUUCUAAAGAUGUCGAUCUUUCUUAAGAUUUGAAGGAGAAUUUCCUUAGUUUUCUAAGGGUUUUCUGAUCUCCAGAGGUUGAAUAUGAAUUCUAAUAUUUUCUCUAAUUUUUUGGGAUUUUUCCUAAAUUUUUAGGAUUUUUAUAAGGGUUUUUCCUAUUUUUGGUAUUUUUUGGUAAUUUUCCUAAUUUCAAAAAUUUCUAAGGUUUUCUUGGUCUCUUUUAUUCUCUCCUUUUAGGUUAGGGAGAGGGGUUAUUUAUAAUAUUUAAUUGGUGAUUUUCUUAAAUUUUUUGAAAUUUUUUUGAAUUGUUUUGGAUUUAUCUUGAAGUUUUAGCCUUAUAUAAUUAAAGAAAACACGUUUACUGCAUCAUUAGAUGUGUUGAUUGCAUCAUCAGCCUGCGUCUGGGCCUGUCAGGCCUGUUACAGCCCCGCCUGCGGUUCGACAGUUGGGUCUCAAAGGGAUUAAAUUGUCAUUUGUUAUAUCUUUUUAUCAGUAAGUUCGAUUCCCGCGAUUCUUGGACUGUUAGAAAACUAUUGAGCUCUACUUCAAAUUGGGAUAGGAUUUGGGUAGUUUUGGGGUAAUUAAAUUGGGUGUACUAGGAUAAUGUGGUCCUAAGGGUUUAGAAAACCAUAGAAUUUGCCAGAUUUAAAAUGUGGUGUCUACAAUUGUCCCUCUUUGGCACUCCCUGUCCUUCAAGGGAUAAGUGAGUGGCAAAGAAGUAGACACUUUGGCGUUCCCUGUCAUUCGAGAGGCAGGUGAACGUCAAAGAAAAAACAGACAUUUUAAAUUUCUUCUUGAGGUCACGUGGUCAGGGGGAAUACUAACUCCUUCAAGUCAUUGCGCUCACUGAGCUCACCCACCUAGGGAAUUUUUCCUCCUAGGGUUUUCGGCAUGAGAUGUUGGUGAGUUACACAAGCUUGAAAAUCGAAUUGGAUUUUCUAGCCACGCCACUUAACUUCAGGGAUUUUUGUAGUUUGAUUUUUUAACCCUGGCAUUUUUUUUUAUCUCCUUAGGGUUUCCUAAAGCUGUUUAUAAGAAAAGGCUUUAUAUAAGAAGAGACUUAUCUGAAGUGAGAGACGAAGCAGCAACGCGGCAACGCGGUAAUCAACAUAUAUGGGUGUCCAAGCUCCUUCGUUUUUUUAAGACUUUUUUUUUAAAGUAGGGGAAGAUUUGAAAUAGAACCCGGAGCAAGGACAUGUUACGAUUUUAAUAAAGAAAUUAAAGUUUUUGGAAAACACAAGACAUAGUGAAAAUUUUGAAAAGAGAAAGAUAUUUCGAAAAACAAGGUUGGUUAGCAGUUUUAACUGCUACAACCAUAGAGCCCUCUAAGCAGUUUAAUGCCAUGCAGUGAUGGACCAUACACCCGACCCUUUUACGUUAAUACGAGGAUAGACGUAAUCCAUCGAACAAGGCGGUUGUGCCCUGAAUACACCUAACCUUUUGCAUCAUAUGGGGCUAGAUGGUACCUACCUCGGCUCUUUUACGUUGCACGAGUUUGAUGUUUUUUCAUCGGAUAGGGUAGUUGUGUCCUGGAUACACUCGACCUUUCACGUCAUACGAGGAUAGACGGUAUCUGCCUCGGCUCUUUUACGCCGCAUGAGUUUGAUGUUUUUCCAUCGAACAAGGUGGUUGUGCCCUGGAUACACCUGACCUUUCACGUCAUACGACGAUAGACGGUACCUGCCUUGGCUCUUUUACGUUACACGAAUUUGAUGUUUUUCCAUUGAAACAGGGUGGUAUCUUGAAUACACCCGACCUUUUAUGUCAUACGGGAAUAGACGGUACCUGUCUCGAUUUUUUUACAUCGCACGAGUUUGAUGUCUUUCCAUUAAACAGAGUGGUUGUACCCUGAAUACACCCGACCUUUCACAUCAUACGGGGGUAGACGAUAUCUGCCUCGGCUCUUUUACGUUACACGAAUUUGACGUAUUUCCUAUCUUGGCUCUUUAACGUCGCACGAGUUUGAUGUUUUUCCUAUCUCAGCUCUUUAACAUCCCACAAGUUUGACAUUUUUCCUGUCUCGACUCUUUAACGUCGCACGAGUUUGACAUUUUUUUUUUGUCAUGGCUCUUUAACGUUGCACGAGUUUGAUGCUUAUCCUGUCUCGGCUCUUUUACCUGUCUUGGCUCUUUAAUGUUGCACGAGUUUUACGUUUAUUCUGUCUCAGCUCUUUUACGUUGCACGAGUUUGACGUUUAUCCUGUCUCGGCUCUUUACGUCGCACGAGUUUGACGUUUUUUGAAGUGGACUUUGGGACAUCAUAUGCACACACGGGGAUGAGCUUGCCUCAUUUCACCUCAGAGGAUCAAGUCGAGAGAAAAACGUUCCCAGACUAGCCAAUAUUGUCAUUGGCGAGGUUCACCCAUCUCUGAUAUGUGGUAGUUGGUAGUUAUAUUCAUACAAUAAUGGAGUGCCUGGCUAGCUUCAGACCUUCAUAACAGGCGUAGGAAGUUGGCUUCGAGAACGAGGCCAGAUCGACUAACAGUUUAACCUCUUAUAGUGAUGGAGGAAGUCAUUUCUAAAAGGGUUUGAGACAUAGAGGGUUUUAACAAUCAGAUUGAAAAAGCGUUUUUAAAAGGGACAGGCCUUAUAGUUUGGCCACUUGUGGCUCCUUUGGUGGUCAUUUUCUUUAUUAUAUUUUACCCAAAGGUGAUGAAAGGAUUAUCUUGUGGGAUUGUGAGAACUCAAAAGUCUCGAAGUUGUCUUUUUACCUUUGGAACUUCAUCUUGUGUUUCACGGGUCCAUGAAGAGUUUUAUGAAUUCUUGCCGAGCUUCCGUCUUAGAGAGGUCCCGAUGUUCUUUCAGGAUUCGUUGAAGUCACUUCGGUUUUCCAUUCAUAUCAUGCUCCCACAUCUUUCUAAGUUGGUUAUGUUGGGAACCUAUAGGGUUUAGGAGGAGUCUUCGUCCUUAGGGUCUGCUUAUGCCGUAUUGUUGGAACUUUCAAGUAUUUGUUUGUACUCGAGUGUUUUUGAAUCAGAAGCUCCUUCUUGGAGAAUAUUUUUUUUUUUUUUUUACCUGUUGUCCCUCAAUUUUGACAAAUGAUGCGGCUUCUACCCAUUUGGUAAAGUACUAUUUAGUCGUUCAUAUAAAAUGAUGGCCAUUUGAGGCUUUAGGUGAGAUCAUUCCGAUGAUAUCAAGGCCCCACAUGGCAAAAGGCCAUACAAGCGGUGUUGAGUUGAGUGGCACGGACGGUGCAUGGAUGAGGUCUCCAUAAAGCUGACAUUUGAGACACCUCUUUACGAACUUCCAACAAUCUUUAGCCAUGGUGGUCCAAUAAUAGGCUUGGCACCUGAUUUUCUGAGCUAAGGCUGUUGCGCCAGAAUGACCUCCUUCAUUGUGUAACUCUAUCAUUACUUUGGUUGAUUUUCGGUUGAUCAAGACACCGUAGAAUGAUGCCAUCAUAGGAAUUUUUGAAUAGGAGAUCACCUCUUACUAAGAAUCCCAUAGAAAACCUUCGAAGGGCUUCUUUAUCCUUUUUGGUGGCUCCUUUAAAGUAUAAUUUAUCUUUCAGUAAGGACAUAACAUCGUGAAACCAUGGUUUUGUCUUAACUAGCGCAUUUGAAGCCACGAGAGACACUUUCCCAUUAUUCUCAUUUUCUUGUUCUAUUUCUUCUUCGAUCUUUGGUGGAGAAGGAUCAUGUUUGUUCAUAAUAUAGAAUGAUAACGUGGUGAUUUCUAGAGGAAUAUCAACAAUUGAAGCAAGGGUCCCAAGGGCAUCGGUGAACCGAUUAUUUUCCUUAGUUACAUGCUGAAAGGUGAUUUUAUUGAAAUAUGGGAUCAUCCUUUCCACCUUUUCUUGAUAGGGNNNNNNNNNNNNNNNNNNNNNNNNNNNNNNNNNNNNNNNNNNNNNNNNNNNNNNNNNNNNNNNNNNNNNNNNNNNNNNNNNNNNNNNNNNNNNNNNNNNNNNNNNNNNNNNNNNNNNNNNNNNNNNNNNNNNNNNNNNNNNNNNNNNNNNNNNNNNNNNNNNNNNNNNNNNNNNNNNNNNNNNNNNNNNNNNNNNNNNNNNNNNNNNNNNNNNNNNNNNNNNNNNNNNNNNNNNNNNNNNNNNNNNNNNNNNNNNNNNNNNNNNNNNNNNNNNNNNNNNNNNNNNNNNNNNNNNNNNNNNNNNNNNNNNNNNNNNNNNNNNNNNNNNNNNNNNNNNNNNNNNNNNNNNNNNNNNNNNNNNNNNNNNNNNNNNNNNNNNNNNNNNNNNNNNNNNNNNNNNNNNNNNNNNUAUUUGUUGGAUUUUCAUUCCCAUGGCAUUCUCGAGCCCGGCUAUCAAGGCUUCGUAUUCAACAACAUUAUUGGUACAUUGAAAAUUCAAUCUGAUGGCUGUUGACAUUAAAAUCUUCUUGGGUGAGCAUAAUAUGACUCCUAUACCUGACCCGUAUUCAUUCCUUGCACCAUCGAAGUAUAGCUCCCAAAUUUAUUCCUCAAUUAUGAAGUGGUUCUCAUAAGGGAGAUCCGUGUUGAUGGGAGUGUUAUCUGGCAGUGCGUAUUCAUCUAAGUGGUCAGCAAUGAUUUGUCAUUUGAUACAUAUUCGAUCUCAAACUCGUUCAUAACAUUCUCCACUUCGCCAAACAUCUAUUCAGGAUUGGUCUCUCCAAUAGGUACUUGAGUGGGUCUAUUUUUGAGAUGAGCUUGACUGAAUGAGAUAAAACACAAUGUCUUAACCUCUACAUGGCCCACACAAGCGUCAAGCAAUGCUUCUCCAUAUUCGUGUAUCUUGUCUCAGUGUCCACCAUAGUCUUGCUGAUGUAGUAUAUCGUUUGUUAAUUUCCAUAGUCAUCAUAUUGUCCUAACAUUGCCCCCAUGGUCUUGUCUCUCACUAACAUGCAUUUCAGUGAUGGCUCGUAUUUUGGACGGGUCCACCUCAAUGCCUCUUUAGCUUACUAUAAAGCCUAAUAAUUUACUGGAUUCAAUCCCAUAGGCACAUUUUUGCGGAUUGAGUUUGAGUUGAUGUUUUUGGAGUCUUUCGAAAAUGGUUCUCAAGUUGGUGAGAUGAUCAGGCCUGGUCUUCGACUUGACCAGAAUGUCGUCAACAUAGUCUUGUGCAUUAAGUCGUGGAAGACGCUAGUCAUUGCCCGUUGAUAAGUUGCCCCUGCAUUUUUGAGGCUGAAGGGCGUGACUUUGUAGUAGUAAGUUCCCCAUUACGUUAUGAAAGAAGUCUUGGUCACUGAACCUCAAAGUUAUCUUGGUUCGAGUUACGAGAAUUGGCUUUAGAUGUUGCAUGAAUUUCUUCCCUCACUCGACUUCUACUUUAGUUGCCUAAAAUCCCCUGUAGGACAACGCCUGGUUGGACUCCCUGACUAUUCAAGGUUUUUCAGGCAGAGCCGGCUUUUCGAGCUACACAGAUCUCAGGAUUAGGAGUGGAUACUUGGGACUCUGCCUCUAAUUGAAGACUUGGGCGUUGGAUAAUGGAUUGUCUUGAGGUUUGUCGAUAACUCCAAGGGAUUGCAGCAUACUGGUCUCUAGGUUUGGGCAGGUUAAGCUUAGAGUCGGCCGUAGAGCAGUCAUCAUGGUUGCCUUGAGUGACUGACAUGGUGAUUACUUUUGGCUGGGUGACAUAGGGCAAACCUAACCUGACACUAGGGGCAAAAACCUUAGCUAAGAACUAGGCUAAGACUUGUUUGGAACCUAGACUUACUAGACUCGAUGGAUUUUGGUUAAGAUCCUGAACUAGGGUAAGCCUAGUUUAGCUCUAGAGGGAACUCGUAAGCUUAGACCUAUGCUAGAACCUAGACUAAGAUCUAGACUAGAUGGUGCACGAGUCUUGACUCGAACCAAGAGUGGGUCUAGGUUUGGAGGGGUAAGAAACACUAAUGUAUUAUUUUUAUUUAUUUAUCUUUUUAAUUUUGAUGAAACACAGUUAAACUAAACAUGGUGAAAGCAAAGAAAAUAUGAUUGCAGUCAAAAUUAAAAAACUAAAAUAAAAUCAAAAUGGCAGAAACAGAACAAAUCUAUGUGAAGAUAAAUAUUUUUUUAUAUUUUAAAAAUUUUUUUUUAGGUAAAAAACUGGUCAACAGGGUGCCAAAAGUCCCUGGAAUGGUCAUGUGGGGUCCCAGAAAUUUUUUGGGACACUUGCAGUUGGGCGACACAGGUCGUGUCGCCCUUGUAGAGCCAUGUCGCCCAAAUCAUUUUUUUUGUUUUUUUUUUUAUAUAUUUUCAUCUUGUUAAUCUUGAUGAAAUAAGACUACUUUAAACUUGGAAGAAGUAGGAAAUAAAAAUAUUUAUGAUGAAAUAAAUUAAAAUAAAGUAAAACAGAAAAGCUCAAAUUGAACUGUCGGUCUUUCUCAGGAUUUGGUGGAGAAUUUCUUUAGUUUUCUAAGGGUUUUGUAAUCUCCAGAGGUUGAAUAUGAAUUAUGAGCUUUUUUUAAAGCUGUCGGUCUUUCUCGGGGUUUGGAGGAAGGGUUUUGUUAUCUCUAGAGGUUGAAUAUGAAUUCUAAUAUUUUCUUUAAUUCUUUUGGAUUUUUGGGGAUUUUACCUAAAUUUUUAGGAAUUUUCUAAAGGUUUUUCUUAUUUUUAGUAUUUUUGAGUAAUUUUUUAAUUUCGAGAAUUUCUAAGGUUUUUUUGGUCUCUUUUUUUUUUUUCUUCUUUUGGAUUAGGGAGAGAGGGUAUUUAUAAGAUUUAAUUGGUGAUUUUUUCUAAAUUGUUUGGAGUAUUUUUAGAAUUUUUUGAUUUAUCUUAAUGUUUUAGCCUUAUCUAAUAAAAAAACACGUUUAUUGCAUCAUCAUAUGUGUUGACUGUGUCAGCAGCCCCUUUUGGACCUUUCGGGCCGGUUACAGCCCGGCCAGGGGCUCGAUAGUUGGUUCUCACAAAGACUAAAUUGUCAUUUGUUAUAUCUUUUUAUCUAUAGGUCCGAUUCAAGCGAUUCUUAGACCGUUGGAAAGCUAUUGUGAUUACUUCAAAUUGACAUACGAUUUGGGUAGUUUUGGGGUAAUUAAAUUGGGUAUACUAGGAUAAUGUGGUCCUAAAGGUUUAAAAAUCAUAGAAUUUACCAGAUUUAAAAUGGAGUGUUUACAUUUAGAUUCAUACUUUAUUCAGGAGAAAGUCCCAAGUAAUCAGAUAGCAACUCCAUACAUGAAGUCAAAGGAUCAAUUGGCCGAUAUUUCACCAAGACUCUGGAUGUUACCAGACUGUAGAUUUCUUCCACGAUGGGCAUGGGUAAUAUCUAUGCUUCAGCUUGUGGGGGAAUGUUAAAGAUUAAUUUUUUUUGUGAUCAUUAGUGCUCAUUGCAGGAUAGGGUAUCUUUGUUUUUUUAAUAAACUCUUGGACAAUGGGUUUCAUUAAAUUACUUACAAGGGCAUUUUUGUAAUAUGUAUUACAUAAUCAAUUGUAAGUAAAAGAUUAAGCUGUGCAUGGUUAAUAACUAACCUAAGAGGAAUUAGAUCUGCCCCAUGCACCUCUCUUUUCUCUCUCUCUAUCACGCCACUCUUUCUCUUCCUAUCUCCUCUUGUUUCUCCUCUCUCUUGUUUCACUUCUUCCUUUUCUUCUCUUUUCUUCUUCUUAUGAUUUGAUGAUUAUUAAUAAUGCUUAUAGUCAAAUACCCUUCUAGGAUCCAAAACAAUCCCAGCUCCUAGCUAUACAGGUAGGAUUAUUGACAUUCUAACCGUCUUUUUCAUUCUUUAGACCAAGAAACCUAAUUGCAUUAAGCCAAAUCAAGCCCUUCUGCUUGGCAUCAAAUCUCAUGAGAAAUCAUUUAAUUACAAUUAAUGGCAAAUGGUAGGGGGAUCAAAUAAGAGGAAGAUUAGGCAAAAGAGAAUUGAUAUGAGUGAUCUUCCACCAAUAACAUUAUAUUACCGUCGAAUCCUAGCAAAUAUCCUUUAGAGAUCUCUAGAACUAAUUCCAAAGGCUGCUUCACAACUGCUGCAAAUAAAGGCAAGCCCAAAUAAGGAGUUGGUGAUCAGUCAUCUUGAGCAAACUCGGGCAACCUCAUCUCUAGUCUAAGAUAGUUCAACUCCAGUAAAGAUAAAUAACCUAUUAUUCACCAAUUUAUUUUUUUCGUCCAGCACCUUUAGAAAGCACCCAAGCACAAACAUGAACACCAAAGUCAUAUAAAACUAAGGAAUUCUGAUUGUUAUAAAAAUGCAACUGGAAAGCCUAAUGUAUAACACCUCCAUAGAGAAGCCAUCAAUAAGACCAACACUACGCAUAUCAUCUCAAACAACAGUGAAAAGAUGUAUGCUAGGGGUUUCGUAUCCAUGCCAGACACCUCUGAAUCGAAAUCUUUGCCUGUGAACAGAAAGGCAUAAAACUGCUCGUUCAGAGUCCUGAGAGAGGGUCACCAUCAUGCUAAAAGUCUCCAGAAAGUUUUGGGAAGGUAUAAUGCCAGACCUGCAAACAGCUGGAAGAAGGUGGAUACAGAGCAAGACGAGAUAUGUUGAAAGAGAAAGGAUCAUGUGGCACGAGGAUUAGUAGUACCUCAUGAAUUUGAAAAAAUCAAUUUAGAGUUAUUUAUAAUGAACAACCGGGUGACAUAAUUAAUGGAAAAUCCAAUCGAGUGUAUGAUACAAGGAUCUGUAAUGAUCAUAAUGUUGUCAAUGUGAAUUUUCCCUAUUUAUCAUCCAAAAUAUUGGCCUGGGUUUAAAAUCUUCCUAUGGCAAAGGAUGUAAAUCAUGAACUUGAAAAUGACUAUGCUAAAAGACCCAAUGUGAAUCCAACGCACCCAAUGUGAAUCCAACGCAACCCCAUAAAUAUUCUCUUGUGAUCCGUAUCUUCACCCCAUGCGAGUUUCCUCUGACAAUGUCCACAAGCACCACAACCUUCACAUCCCCUACUGCUACAUUCGCCAUCCAUUUCACUUGAAUCAUCUUACACUAUUAAAAGUUCAUAACAAUAUGCAGAGUCUUCCACCAAGUCACAGGAUCAUCUAGUCAACUGAUACAACUUGUCAAUCUUGACUGUUGAUUUGAUUUAACAUGCUAACUAUUUAUGUGAGUGACCAAUAAAGGGAGAAAGAAGAUUGUAUCACUUUUCAAAAUAAGAGGAUAAACAUACCGAAUACUAUAAUCAGGCAAGUAUCCUUUGCAUUCUUUAUCUGGUUUCCUAAAUUUUAAAUACAAGCCGAUAAAUGAAUUCAGUUUCUUGCAUUCCAUCCAAUUACUCCAAUAUCUAAAAUCAGCUUUUAGAACUAAGACUCAGGUCAGUCAGGACACAUUCAGGUCCCAAGCCCAAGUAUUAAAGACUCGAUUGGAAGUCUUGAAAAGAUUCAGUUGAAUCUACGUAAAAAUCAGGUAAAAAUGAUAGACUCGGGCAGGUCUCGUGUUUCAACACGAUACUCACUAGGGCUCCGAGGCGAAUCGACUCGGACAAGUCCAGAGUUGCCACACUGAGUUUCCAAACACUCAUUAAAAUAAUAUUCCUUGUGUUUUUCAACAUUCUAAUAAGAUGUAUCAUUUGGAAUUAUACGUCACCUGAUCCCAAGGAGUUAACCAGUUUUCCUUGUCAGAACUGGAAACCUUAUGUACCGAUGAAGCUAACUCCGGCAAAUAGUUUAGGAAAUAUAGCUACAAAUAAUGAAGACUUAAGGAUUAAGGGUCCUGGGACUUUAUGCCACCAUUGGUGCCAGUCCUAUUUACGCUUUGUGUCCCUAAUUGUUUAAUAUGAAGCAUAUACUUGGUAACAUAUACACACAAACAUUAAAUUACUGAAGAAGAGGAAUUCCACAACUGUUUUCUUGUUUCCAUGUUUAUUUCUUUCAGAUAACAGAUAGUUUGAAUUUAAAAGGAGGUGUGACGAGCAUUUCAAGCACUUGGUGAAUCCCAUCUCAAGAAGAUAACUGACAGUAUGUUCUAAUUUCUUCACCUCUUGUUUAUUUUUUUCAGAUGACAGAUAGUUUAAAUUUAAAAGGAGGCAUGAAAGCAUUUCACGCACUUUGUGAAUCCCAGCUCAAGGAGAUAAUUGACAGUAGGUUCUAAAUCCUUCUCCACACUUAAUGUAAGCAACUGAGGAUGCCAAGUAACAAGCCUGUAAAUAAACAAAUGAUCAAAUAUCAUGAGACCAAAAUAGCAUGAGCAAUGUAAGCAUAGCACUCAAACUGAGAGGAACAGACACAUAUAUGCUGUUAUGAUGAACAGAUACAGCUGCCGAUAUGGCUACAAAAUUAGUUUGAUUGAUUUCACAUAUGAUUUUGAAGUAUCUGAUACUAAUAACGCACCCAUUUUGAAGCACCUAAAACCAUCGGUUUGAGCUUCAAAAGAUACAAUUAGAAAGAUUAGUUGCAAUGAAAAAUAAUAAAUUCUUAAGAAAAAAAAUGUUGUCAUCAUGAAGUUCUGCGGUCACAGAAUUUCUGUGAAAGUCAAAAGAAAUCGGUGAAUUGCAGGCAAACCUUGCAAAGUGAGGAACCUUUUAUGCCAGGGCUUUCCAAGAGCUUCAAAGUAAAGAAACAACCUAGCCAAACCCCUUUUCUCUGCACAUGCAUAGACUCUGGAACCAAACAUAAGGUGACCCAUUUCCUCAAAGCUCGCCAUCAGUAACCCAUGCCAAUGCUUCCUUUCAAAGGAGACAGAAGGUCCCCCGUUUCCAAUUGCACUCUCUCCUGUGAGUUCAUGGCAUCUGCUCUUUCCCAGUGAGAAUUCAGUGGAUUCCACCACAAGAAGAGCUCAUUUGUCCGGAGGAGUUGGAUUGGGGCUCAUCGCAUUCGAGUUCGGGAAACCAUGGGUUGAGCCUGAGCCCGAGGCUGAGUCCAAGUGCCUAUUCUGCUGUGCAUUCAUAACAACAGUUAGCCGGGGCUGUAACUUUUGCUUUCCAUGAAAGAAGGCGGGGAAAACGGCGGUUUGAGUUUGAUGAGGAGAAAAGAUUGACUCAAGACGACACAGAAGCAUGAUUUUUAAAUGGAAUUCUCAGUUGCGGAAACUGAGAUAAUGGUAGUUGGAGAGGGAGUUGUCGGAUGGAGAAUCGUUUGUUUCCCGUGUUUAUUUUAUAUUUUUUUUAGGGAUGUCGCUAGCUCAUAUAUAUUAAAUUGGAUGCAUUGGGUUGAGUCAUAUAAAUCUGAGAAAUUUUUUGUUCGGGAGCUUUAUGUCUAUUCAAUAACACUAUUACUGCCCAUUUGGAAUUUAAAAGAGAAGGAUAGUUGGUUUUUUUUUUUUAAACUUUAUUUCUAUUCAAUGACACUCUUACAAUCACUCAUUUUAAAAUUUUAAGGACAAGAAUGAUUGUGACCUCUAUGUACAAAAGAUUAAUGGUCUCUUUGUAGACAAUCCUUUUUUCUCAUCUAGGGAGAAUCCUGAACACUAGAUACAGUUAUGGUCACUAGCGAUGGUAUGCCAAUUUGGUCUAAAAAAAGGAAUUUAAACUGUUUUAAGUAUGAGUGGAGGAGGUGGUUGUAUUAGGCAGACCACUAAUGUAAAAUUUUACCAAAACUUUCAAUAGAUUUUCAAUGAUGAUGAAGGGUGGUCAGGAUCCGGCUUAAAAUCAACAUCAAAUUCGCUUUGCUUUUAGGGCUAGAACGAAGUGAAGUCUUGCCGGUUAGAUUCGGGCCGCUUCAAUCAUAUUCGAGUCUAUUCUUUAGGCCUCUUCGGCCGAAGAUUCGGCCUCUUCAGUCUAAGUAAAGAAAUAUCUAUAAAAAGUAAUUGUCUACAAAGGGAGCAUUUAUCUUUUGUACAUAGAGUCACAAUCAUUCUCAUUCAUUAAAUUUCAAAUUGGAUGGCUUGGGGAGUAGGGGUGAGUCACAAAGUCCGAGAUUUUGUUUUUUGGACUUUGUGUGUAUUCAAUGUGACUCUUACAACCACCCAUUUUGAAAAUUAAGGGACGAGUGAUUGUGACCUCCACGUACAAAAGAUAAAUAGUUUAUUUAUAGACAAUUCAUAUAUAAAAGUAUUUUUUUAUUUAUUUUUAUUUUUUUAAAAUUUUUAUUUUAAAAUUUUCAUUAUUUGUAUAUAUUUUUAUAUAUAAAUACAUAAUUUAUUUAUUUAUUUAUUUUUUAAGUCUGAAUUUUUUCUAAACGAAACACAUAAUUGUUUCAUUUUUUUCACCAAACCGAAAAAAACUCUCAAACAAAUAUGACAACAUUGGUUAAGAUUGGGCUAACCUGGUAUUUUUUGUUAUUACGUUUCGGGUCAACUUAGGCCGUCCAGGCCCGAUGUCCGCCCUAAUGAGAAUCGUCAUCUUCGGUAGUGGCUGCUUCGGUCAUUAAUCGAUAAAGGGUGGGGCCAACCUGAAAGUGAAACGGCUUUUAAUAUCUUUUCAAUGGGUCCAAUUCUGUCGUCGGCGUCCGCUUAUUGAUUGGACAGUGAUAAUAUUAAAGACUACACUUGUGAUACGGUCACGAGGAUCCGAGGAACACAAUUGCACACCGAGAUCCAGUAUCAUGAAGGGUAGAACGAAAAACAUAAGGGGUAUACACGUUGUCCUAGCAAUUAUAGAAUUUAUUACUUUUCCAUGACACAAACAUGGCAAAGCAAUAAUCCGACAUGAAAGAACUUUUGUAGAAAUAUUUUGACGUUUCAUGCGAGAAUUUUCACCGGGAUAUUAUUUUAACUCAUAAUCUAUUGGCUCAAAUACAAUGGAUUUUUUUUUGUUUUUUUUUUAAAAUAAAGCUACAACAACAUGUAAAUUAGAUUUUGAACUUAACCAUAAAAAUCAACAAACACAUGGCAGGCAACACUCUCUCACUGUAUAAAAAACAAUCAUAAAAAUUUGCUACAAUUUCUUUAGGACUAAAAAAAGGAUGCACAAGGCAAAAGAAUAAAAACCCAAAAUUGAUUGUAAUUAUUGUAAAACAUCGACCAAUCAACCCUAAUGUAAUUUUAACAGGCAUGUACUCAUUAAAACCAAAUAUAAAUCACUCUAGCAAACUAAAAACAAUGCCUUAUAAUUUUUUCCUUACUCAUACAACUCUCCCAAACUUCAAGUACUGUUUUGGAUACAAAUAUAAAUAAAUCAUGGAACAAACUCAACAAAUUUGUAGAGACUUGUAGAGCCAGGUCUAUUACUUUUAUGGAGAGAGAGAAAAUCACUGGGAGUGUGCUUCGCAUGAGUAUAUUGUAGGAGAUAAAAGAGAUGCUUGUUGCAAAUCAAGAGUUAGAAAAUAAUAUAGAGAGAGAAACUAUUGUGAGAAGCAACAAGAUGAUGUAAUUUAUUACAUGACACUGGAGGACUCUCACAAGGAUAAGAGACGUAUCUUUUGUACCCAGCUCACAAAGAAGCUUAAGAUAGAUAAAUAGGUUUUAGAGAGAGAGAGAGAGAAGAAGCUCAUGUAAGUUGAACUUUCUUCCCCAAAACUCUUCUCAUAUAUAGCCAUUUAAAAAGAAUUGCAAGAGACACUCGUAGAGAGAGAAUGACCAAGUGUUGCCUCUCAAUGACCACUUGUCCAUCUCUUCACGUGACUCUUUCAUUUUCCUUUCUAAAAGUAUUAGCUCGUUUAAACUACAUUUUAAAUGGGGUUAAAGAAAACAAGAAAUUAGAAAUUGGGCCCUUAUUUUUGUAAAUAUUUUAGAAACAAAUUUUUUUUAACAUUUCCCCACUUGUUUCAAAAUAUUUGUAAAACCAUUAUACAAAACUUUUAGUAGUUAUAAAUAAUUUGCUUGAGUUUACAUCCUCAAACAAUAAAUCCAUUUAAACAUAUGAUACAUCCACUCAAUGACAUCAACCACAGACAUUCCUACACCCAUCAAUUGGCGUGACGCAUUACGUGAUCAAUAACCAUAUUAUGAAGUUCACCUACAUGCUUCUAGAUUAGUGGACUCUCUCUCUCUCUCUGUCUCUCUCUUUCUCUCUCUCUCUCUCUAUCUCUCUCUCUUGUCUAGUNNNNNNNNNNNNNNNNNNNNNNNNNNNNNNNNNNNNNNNNNNNNNNNNNNNNNNNNNNNNNNNNNNNNNNNNNNNNNNNNNNNNNNNNNNNNNNNNNNNNNNNNNNNNNNNNNNNNNNNNNNNNNNNNNNNNNNNNNNNNNNNNNNNNNNNNNNNNNNNNNNNNNNNNNNNNNNNNNNNNNNNNNNNNNNNNNNNNNNNNNNNNNNNNNNNNNNNNNNNNNNNNNNNNNNNNNNNNNNNNNNNNNNNNNNNNNNNNNNNNNNNNNNNNNNNNNNNNNNNNNNNNNNNNNNNNNNNNNNNNNNNNNNNNNNNNNNNNNNNNNNNNNNNNNNNNNNNNNNNNNACUCUCUCUCUCUCUCUGUCUCUCUCUUUCUCUCUCUCUCUCUCUAUCUCUCUCUCUUGCUAGUGUCCUGCGAAAUAUAUUGGCAUCAAGUUGCAGGGAUAUGAUAAAAAAAUGGAUUUCAAAUUUUGAAAAUAGUACAUCUUGUAACACAUUUUUUGACCAUCAAUUUUCAAGAUUUUCAUAGAUCUGCACUAUUUUUUAGGCUUUAGAUUUUAUAAUUAGAGAUGAAAAUAUAUUUUAAGGCUAUCACAAAGAUUUCUAAUAUCGAAACCACAUUUCUCGAUACUAUUUGAAGGUGUGCUUUAGUUUGAUUGUUUAGAGCCUUGGCUCUUACAAACAACACCUUUUUUUAAAUAAGGGUAUAUUAAGGUGCUCUCACUAUAUAGCAUUUUAAACUUAUACUCAACAAAUUUUAGACACUUAUAUAUACUUGUUUUGUACAUGGAUCAUUAUUUUAGUAAGGAUAUUUUUUGUCAUUAAGAGAGGUGUGACAUCAUCCAUAUAUGGAGUAUACUAGUGACAUUUAAUCCUACAUGUGGAUGAUGUAACGUCUUAUGUGGAUGAUGUCACUCCCCUCAUAAUAACAAAAAAUACCCUUAUUAAAAAUGAUCUAUAUAUAAAACAAAAGUAUAUAAAUAUCCAAAUUUAAUUAAGUACAAUUCUAAAUUACUCUUGUAUGAGCACCCUAACAUAAUUCUUUAAAUAAAUCACAAUUGUUUAUAGGGUCCUCUGGUUGAAACAUUCUAUGCACUUCUUGGAAGAAAAGAGCUACUUGAGAGGAAAUGUUUUCAUUUGAAAUUUUGGGAUUUAAUUUGAAAUCAUAAUAUGAGGAGACUCUAAAUAAAAAAUAAAAAUAAAUGUUUUUUAAAUCACUUGGAUACAGUUUUCCAAAAUUUGUAUCUCCAUUUUUUUUUUUUCCUUUGACUGUUCAAUGGGUCCCCUUGUAGCGUUCUUGGGAACCCCUUGCUUGCAGAACAUGGAAUCUCAAAUAUGGGGGUACCACCCAAGAUCAUGUACACCAUUGACUAAUUGCAAAAUAGAUCGAUGAAACUAUAAAUUGAGUACAUUAAAUAAAGAGAAAAACCUAAAAUUACAUCACAAUAGCACACGAUUUACAUCUUUCACCCUGUAGGGCUAUUUCCACAGCCUUGGCAAACAAAAAUCUACUAUCAUAAUGAAGAUUACAAUUUUGAGUACAAGAUAUAUACAUCUAUCCAAACAUUGGUAAAAAAACCUCACCGAUCUUCCCUUCUAAAUCCGCUCUCCCGAUUUACCUUUUGUACAAGGUGGUCACAAUUAAUCUUGACUAUUGGAUGUAAAAUUGGGUGGCUACAAUAAUUGCAUUAGCCAAGCUCAAAGUUUUACUAAAAAAAAAAUAAUCAAACUUUAUGACACACCCAUGCUACUAGAUGACAAAUCGGAUGGCUAGAAAUCCAUGUUCCAAUGAUAAAUGGUCUCAUUGUAUACAAUCCCUUAUAAAUUUUAGGUACAUGCAGAGAGCACAUGAAUUAUGAAUUUUUCUUUUCAGUUUGCUCAGUUGAAGCGGUGACAUAUCGAAAAUUCGGGAUCCUAAAAAUACUCCUAAAUAGAGUUUCACCUGAAAUCAAAAUAUAGUGUACAUGAAUAAUUGAUUUCACCAAGGCAAAAUCCAAAAUACAUCAAAUGAUCUUUAUUUUCAUUAACCGUCACAUGCUUAACCGAAAAGAACAUCAGCGAAGGGAGGAAGCAUUCCAUCAAAUCUAGGGAAAACAUAUCAUGCUACCAUCUGGGUUUCAAACCAUUCACAGGUAGCUCCCCAACCAUUGAACUUUACAACAGAUCGGGCGGUGACAAAUCCCAAUUGGCCAGGUAAAAGCGAGCGCUCUUUCGACUAUGAAAUCAAUAGACCAUUUAGUUUUUGGUACAAGGAGGUUAUAAUCAUUUUGUUUUGCAGUUUAUAUCCAAAUAUUGUUACAUCCUCAACCACCCAAUUAUAAAUCUAACAAUGAAUAAUAAUAACGACCUCUUUAAAUAAAAAUGAAGAGUCUUAUUGUAUAAAUUUCCUAUUCUAAUUUUAUUUUCAUCACAUGAAAAGCAGUAAACCCCAAGACCCUAAUAAGCAAAAAUCUUUUUUUCCUUAGGUAGUUUACCCCAAAAAUAAAUACUUAGAAUAAAAUAUUUAGAUAUGGGAAAAGUUUAUAUAGAGCCGGGGCUCUAAACAAUCAAAUUUGAGCCUACCUAAAACAAUUACAUUAGAAGAGGUCGUUUCGAUGCCCAAAUAUCCUCAAAUUGAUCAUCUCGAUAUCAAGAUGCAUGGACAUGAGAAAAAAAUGGAUUUCAAGUUUUGGAAAUAGUGUAUUUUGUAACUCAUUUUUAGACCAUCAAUUUUCAAGUUUGUCAAGUUUUCAUAGAUCUGUCGAUAUAUAUUAUUUUGAAGCUUUAAACUCUAUAAAUAAAGAUGAACAUAUAUUUUAAGGCUAUCACAAAUAUUUUCAAUAUUGAAACCACAUUUCUCAACAACAACAACAUUUGAAGGUAGGCUCUGAUUUGAUUGUGAUUGUUUAGAGCCUAGGCUCUAUACAAACCGCACCCUUUAGAUAUUGGCGUUGGCAGUCACACCGGUUGAUUCCACAAAGUGUUUAACCUGGGACAAAAGAUACCGGGCCUUUCUCGGGUCGAACAGCUCCACGGCGUGGGAACCGCCCUCCAAAAACCUGGCCACCACCACCACCCUUUCUCCUUCUAGAAACUCUGCAAAGCUCUUUUGGCGAUCGCUGAGAGGGUCGCCCUCGUGCCCCCACACCAUGCACCUCGGCAGCCGCCCCACCGCGGAUGAUGGCUUCAUUGGAUUGCAGAACUCGUGUUCUCGGUCGGCUCCCUUGGGCAGCGCCAGCUCCCACAUAAGGUCAUUUGAUGCCAAGGGCACAAUCGGAUCAUUGGCCAGUCGCAGCUCUGACUCCGUCCUCUCGGCACCUCCGAAGUAAGGCUGGUUCAUUAUGAGGCCCACCACCUUAGCCUGACCCAGAUCCUCAUUCAAUGCGCGCAAGGCCACAUGGUACACCAUGUUGCCCCCUGCACUGCUGCCCAUCAGAAAGCAUCGGGAGAGAUCGGCAAAUUCCGCGAGCCAGGGAUCGGCCUGGGCGGCCACGAACCGGAGGGCAUCAAGGGCAUCGUCGUAAGCAGCAGGGAGUGGGUGCUCGGGGGCUAGGCGGUAAUUGACUGACACGACAAUUGCAGGCACCUCCCGCGCCAUGGUGGCGUUGAAUGCAUCGAAUGGGGCAGUAGCCGCGCUGCAUAAGAUGAAGCCCCCACCAUGCAUGUAUAUUAUUACCGGGAGCUUGAGGUCAUGAUGCUGUUCUGGUCGAUGGGGGGCGAAGAUUCGGAUCCAGGUGGCUUGCGCAGGGUUGAGGGGCACAUCCUUGGACAGGACGCCAUCGCGGGGCUCUCCUCGGCCUUGGGCGUUGCAAAUGGGUGGCACAUCGGGCGUGGUGGUGGCGCGGGUGAGCGAGCCAUCUUUGUUGGGGAUGAUGUUUAGGUGUUUGUAGGGGUCGAUGCUCAAGCCUCUCUCCUCCUCCGCCAUUCUGUUUACUUUGUGGAGCAGUACCUCUGGUUCUUAAACCAUUUGGGACUUGGGAGUUAUGGAGCCUGGCUGUUGGUUAGGAAUUGAAUAUGGGCGCUGAACUUUGAGCCUACAGCCGUCAUAAAGGCCAUCCACUGACCUCUGCCUGGUUAUCCCAUCUAACUGGGACCACAACCACCACCUAAAUGUGGGCUCUCAUAAUUUACUCGCAGGAAAUUUGAGAUCCAAACAAGGGUUUUGUGAAUUUUAGUGGGGACGUUAGCAUGGGAUACCUAAAAUCCUACCAAUCGUAAUAAUAUACCAAAUAUAUCUGUGACCCUGGCUUCCUAUUGUGUCAAAAGAUUAUAUACAUAUCUAUUUUUAUGAAGAAGUAUAAUCAUUUAUCUUUGAAACCAUACAAUAUAGUCACAAUUAUUCUUGGCCAUUGGAUGCGAAAUUAGUUGGCUGUAUUUAUUCCAUUGACGAAGCUCAAAGUUGAUAAUAUAUUUUCUCAACUUUUGCAACACACCCAAACUAUUAGAUUUCUCUUAAGUGUUACCAUUAUAUAAUACAGAGCAAUGAUCCAAUGCAACGGUUGUAUCAUAGUAUAAUGCAAUGACACUUCUAAGAAACCAUGUUUGUGGUAUUUGUAUGACCCCAAAUUUUGCACACACAAUCUCUUCAUCUCAAUAAUCAAUCCCAAAAAAAAAAAAAAAAGUUCAAUUUGAACUCUAGAUAUGAUCAAAAUGAGUCCCCUCCAAAAACGAAUCUAGAGUGUGUAUUUCAAAAUUUGGAUCAAACAAAUGGCCAUACAAUGGUUUUUUAAGACUGUUGCAUCAUAUUACUAUAGAACGGUUGCAUGAAAUCAUUGCCCUUAUAUACAAUCUUAUUUUUUAUUAUGUUAGAAGACUAUGCACCCUUGGGAGCAGUUUUUUUGUGCACUCCUAUAAAAACCCAAACUAGAAGCACUUUUAGGGCCCAAAUUUUGGCUAUGUAAUCCAUUUAACCUUAUGACCAACCUCCCAAAGUAAAAGAGAACAAAUAAAGAUGCACUCUGUUUGAGAAAAUAAUAUUACAUAAAUUAAACAGAAACUAUCUAAUUUUUGCACAGUCAGAUUUAAGCUUUAGAAACUCAGAAUCAAUUUUCUUUUUUUUCUAAAAAAUAAUCAUUUAACAAUUCUCAAAGUAGAUCCCAAAAUGACUGAUAAAAUUCUCCUAAAUAGCUCUUUUGCUUAAGGGAGUAGGGAGCAUGCUAUACAAGAUCUUGGAUUAGAUGAGGCUUUGGACCAACAAAUAGAAGACAUGUGGGUAUUGAGUGCGAACAAGGCUCUUAAUAUGAGGAAUAGCUGUAAAUCAAGGUGAGGAAUCUCCCUUCUUUUCAUUUGGACUUCAAUUUUCUUGUCCUAGAAACCCAACCCCAUUUUCAACUUGAUUCUAUCCUAAGCUAGAUUUUGCUUGAUCUAGGCAAUGGAGGCACUAGGAGGGUUUGCCUGAACUCGGCAUCCCUCUCCCUGUAGCAUUUUUUUUCCCAAGUUACCCCAUGUUCGAUAAUGCGAACACCAGACAUGUGGAGUUUAUACCAUGCAAAGCAAAAUAUUUAUCCAGUGUUUGAAAUACUUGACAGUUAUCUGCUAUCCCCAAAACUAAGAAGCCCCCUCUCUCUCACUCUCCAAAACCGGAGGUCCACUCAAUCAACUAUGUUGCUGAUCUUGUAAAUACAAAAAUGGCAACACAAAAGUGUGAUGAUCAACAAAUUUUUCUGCCAAAUUUCAACAAAUUUCUCUCACAACGGGUUGAGUGAAGAGUUUGAAAUCCGCUGGUCAAUAAAACAAAGAAAAUGGGGCAAAAUUUUGAUGACUUUUCAGGAUUCCUAAUCGUUUUUUGGCCAAUUCCGGCCAUUUUAGCUAAGCAUAAAGCUGGAAUUGGUUGAUUUAACCGAUAUUUCUAGGUGAUGUAGGUAAAAUUUAGAUGAAGUUUGAAGGUUUCCAGUCACCUUCCAGUGUAUUUCUGGCCAUAGUGUGAGAUUGGGGGAAGGGGGGGGAGUUGGGGGGGGGGGGUUGUUGUCAAUUUGCAAAAUGGGAUCAUGUUUGUCCUAAAUUACGAGCGGCAUCGCUCUCCUUGUGGCGUUUUUUUUUCCAAGUUACCCCCAUGUCCGGUAAUGUGAACAUCAGACAUGUGGAGUUUAUACCGUGCAAAGCAAAACAUCUAUCCAGUGUUUGAAAUACCGGACAACUAUCUGCUACCCCCAAAACUAGAAAGUCCCCCCCCCCUCUCUCUCUCUCUCUCUCUACCAAAAUCGAAGGUCCAUUCAAUCAACUAUGUUGCUGAUCUUGUAGAUACAAAAAUGGCAACAAAAACGUGUGAUGAUCAACAAUUUUUUUGCCAAAUUUCGAGAAAUUUCUCUCACAAUGGGUUGAGUGAAGGGUUUGAAAUCCGCUGGUCAAUAAAACAGAGACAACGGUUAAAUUUUUGAUGAAUUUUCAGGAUUCCUAAUCAUUUUCUGGCAAAUUCUAGACAUUUUAGCUAAGCUGGAAUCGAUUGAUUUAACCGAUACUUCUAGGUGAUGUAGGUAAAAUUUAGAUGAAGUUUGAAGGGCUCCAGUCACCGUUCGGUGUACUUCAGGCCAUAGGGUGAGAUUUUUUGGCCAAAAUUAGGACAACAUUGCAGCUUGGUCAUCACUCUUCUUGUUGUUUUUCCCGGCGAUUUAACUUUGAAAUUUAUUUUGGUUGUAGGGAAAAGUUUAUAUAGAGCCGAGGCUCUAAACAAUCAAAAUUGAGCCUACCUCAAAAAUUUCACUAGAAGAUGUUGUUUUGAUGCCCAAAUAUCUUCAAAUUGAUCAUCUCGAUAUCAAGAUGCUUGGACAUGAGAAAAAAUUGGAUUUCGAGUUUUGGAAAUAGUGAUUUUGUAACGUAUUUUUUGACCAUCAAUUUUCAAGAUUUUCAAAUUUUCAUAGAUCUGUUGAUCUACACUAUUUUUGAAGCUUUAAACUUUAUAAAUAAAUAUAAAAAUAUAUUUUAAAGCUAUUACAAAGAUUUUUGGGAGUGAAACCAUAUUUCUCGAUACUAUUUGAAAGUAGGCUCCAAUUUGAUUGUUUAGAGCCUAGGAUCUAUACAAACCACACCCUUUAGUUUUUACUUUGCAAACAACACGCUUAAGGUUUUCUUUUUUGGAGCAUUAUCUUUUUGCUUUGAGUUUGAAGCUUUAACUUUUUUAGAGAUUGGAAUGUGUUUGCUGGUGUGGUUUUUGGAUUGGGCAUUUUUUGUAGGUGAAAUCCCUAGGUAGAGAAUUAGGAAAUUCGGGGGUGAAAUCAGAUCCUUGAAGUGGAAAAUCGAGGUGAUUUAGGAAUUUCAACGUUGCCGAAGUUGCUGCAUUGCAACUCAAUCGAUGGGUUCGAUUCAUUGUGAAAGGACCGAGGAUUUAAGUAUCGCUCUCUGCAGUGAACAUGAAAAGCUUUGUUUAUUCGGAGUUCAAAUCCUAUUCAAUCAAGCUGUAAACCGUGGUUGAAUUGCAUAAUUCUUUCCAUGACCAGCGGAUGAACAAUGAUACCAAGUGAACAUUUAGGGUUUCUUUAUUUCUAUGAGGUGGACUUGUAUUUGUAGAGAGAGAAAAAGAUGGCGUUUAAACAUUUACUGUUACUUUGUAAAAAGAGAGAUAACGUUUCUUAGUUUUGAGGAUAACCUAUAGUUGUCUGUAUCUCAAACAUCAUAUAGUUAUUUUGCUUUGCAACGUAUAAAUCUCACUUUUUUAUAUAUUGGCAUUACCAGGCAGGAGAAAGUUUGAAGAAAAAAAAAUGCCCUGAGGUGAGGGGAGGGGGAGGGGGAGGGGGAGGAUGAGGAUGAGGGGAGCGAGUGCGGCCCUUAAUUUAAGGCAAACAUUAUCCUAUUUUAUAAUUGACCAAAUAUUGUCUCAAUGUAAAUUUCUCUACAAAAAACUUUAAACCCCACCCCACCCCACACACAAAUAUUUAAUUAUGGAAAUGUUCAUUUCACAAUUAUGAAGUGGACCCAAAAUGCAGAUUAAGUGAAGCUAUGGACCAAUGAAAUGAAGACGUGGGUAUUGAGUGCAACCAACACACUUAAUGUGAGGACUAGCUGCCAAGCCCCAAAACUGUGAUUGGCAAGAUAUUUCUAUGCCGAGUGUUGACGUUUUACAACCAAACAAAAAAAACCAAUAAAUUAUGGAAAUUGUUUCAUGUCGGCUGGACCACAUUUCUACAUUUGUAGUUCGAAAAGUGUAAAUCAUCAAAUAGGUAUUUCAUCUAAAAACAAGGUAAAUUAACAAUUCAAAUGAUUUCUUACUAGAAUUAAUAUUUUUAGUUUUUUAAAUUUAUUUAUUUUUUUAUAUUCAUGAUUUCCAUGUUAGAUAUUACAUAUCUUUAAAAAUUAAGUCCUAAAAUUCAUCUCAAAAAUAGAUUUAGUAAGAAGCCUACAUUCUUACAUAUCCAAGCUUAGCUGUAUAAAACCGGGUCCAUAAAUUAUUCCAUAGACAUAUAAUGCCCUUAUAUAGUAAUGAUGUAGUAAAUCAAGCAACAAGAUCAUUGCACCUAAAAGCGAGAUGGUGGUGGGAACAUUGGUCAAAUUCAGAACAAACAAUGACUGCAAAAAUUGACUUAUCCCAUUGGGCUCAUAAUCCAAUGUAGAAAGUACAACCCAAUAGCUAUGGUAUUUUGUAUAAGAGAAAACUUGUAAAAUAUGGCAAAGGUUUCUAUAGAGCUGAGGCUCUAAACCAUCAAAUUCGAGCCUACCUCAAAAAUUUCACUAAAAAAUGUUGUUUUGAUGCUCAAAUAUCCUCAUAUUAAUCAUCUCUACAUCAAGAUGCAUUACCAUGAGAAAAAAUUGGAUUUCAAGUUUUGGAAAUAGUGUAUUUUGUAACGCAUUUUUUGACCAUCAAUUUUCAAAAUUUUCAAGUUUUCAUAGAUCUGGUGAUCUCCACUAUUUUUGAAGCUUUAAACUUUAUAAAUAAAGAUGAAAAUAUAUUUUAAGGCAAUCAUAAAGAUUUCCAGUAUUGAAAGCACAUUUCUCGACACUAUUUGAUGGUAGGCUCUAAUUUGUUUGUUUAGAGCUUGGGCUAUGUACAAACCGCCCCAGUAAAAUAUUGAUGACUUUGAAAAGGGUGUCGUUUGUAUAGAGCCGAUGCUUUAAACAAUCAAAUUAGAGCCCACAUUCGAAUAGUAUUGAGAAAUAUAGUUUCAAUAUUGGAAAGUUUUGUGAUGCAUUAAAUUAUAUUUUCAUUUUUAGUUAUAAAAUUUAAAGCAUAAAAAAUAGUAUAAAUCAAGCAGAUAUAUAAAAACUUGAAAAUCUUGAAAAUUGACAAUCGAAAAAUAUGUCACAUGAUGCACUAUUUCCAAAAGAUUUCCAGUAUUGAAACCACAUUUCCCAAUACUAUUUGAAGAUAGGUUUUAAUUUGAUUGUUUAGAGACUAAGCUCUAUAUAGAGCUUAGUCUCUAAACAAUCAAAUUAAAACGCAACUUCAAAUCGCGUCAAAAAUCGUGGUUUCAAUAAAGUAUGGUUUUAGACAUGGUUUUGGCCCACUCUAUUGUAAACGACUUUAAGAUUGUAUAAGUGGUAUUAGGUAAUUCGUUGUACAUAUUUAUAAAUAUGUAGGUUACCAUUUUGAAAUACAACAGAUAAACAUUUGAGUUUGUUUCUUCAAGCAAAUUGGGUAUUUUAUAUUCAAUGCUUCGUCAAUGAUGUCGCUCAACCAUGUCCCAGGGCGUUAAUGUAGUUAAUAAUUGUCUUCUUGGAUUUGGGUUUAAUUAGCACAAAAGUGUUCCAAAAGGUGCUCCCUAUCAGGAAGCUCAAUAAGCUUCAAGGACUUUACGGAUGGACGUAAACAACCUCCUAAAGUUCCCAUUUAUUUCGUCGUAAAGAAGUAAGUUAGGUUGGCGGACCUUUGGUAUAACUUUUUUUAGGUGACUCAACAUUUCUACUGCUCUCCCCUCUUUCUAUAUCUCUAUGUGAUUGAAUCUGAGUCAAUUCAAUAGUUACAAUAGUAUUUUGUAUUUUAAUUUUAAUUUUUUUUUUAUACAAAUCUAAAUCACUUGAUAUUUUAUUUUAUUUUUUUAAAAUAAGAUGAUCUAAUAAAAAUAUCAAAAAAAUAAUUCACAAAAUAAAUUGACCAAAAUACUUCUGAAACUUUUCAGAGAUGUUUUGAUCAAUUUUUAUUUUUUGAAUUAUUUUUUAAAUAUUUUUAUUAGGUGCAUCUUGAUAAAAAGAAUUGAUGCCUAAAAUUUUAUAUGAUUUGGAUUUGUAAAAAAAAUAUUAAAAGUAUAUUACAAAAUGAGGACAGUAAUGAGGGUAGGCAAAAUCACUGUUCAUUUUCGCCUAUAUAUAUAUAUAUAUAUAUAUAUAUAUANNNNNNNNNNNNNNNNNNNNNNNNNNNNNNNNNNNNNNNNNNNNNNNNNNNNNNNNNNNNNNNNNNNNNNNNNNNNNNNNNNNNNNNNNNNNNNNNNNNNNNNNNNNNNNNNNNNNNNNNNNNNNNNNNNNNNNNNNNNNNNNNNNNNNNNNNNNNNNNNNNNNNNNNNNNNNNNNNNNNNNNNNNNNNNNNNNNNNNNNNNNNNNNNNNNNNNNNNNNNNNNNNNNNNNNNNNNNNNNNNNNNNNNNNNNNNNNNNNNNNNNNNNNNNNNNNNNNNNNNNNNNNNNNNNNNNNNNNNNNNNNNNNNNNNNNNNNAUAUAUAUAUAUACCAACAACAACGAAGAUCUAUUUUUGAACAGUUAUUAAAUGAAAAACCUAACAUAUCCAAGAUAAAUCAGUACAGCUAUCAUAAUGAAUAAAGAGAAAGGAGAAAUAUCAAGCACAAUCCAUCUAGUAUAAGUAAUAUCUCUAAUGUUAACACUGAGUACAAACUUUAUUUGCAUAUCAAAGAGGUACUAGCAGAUUUAUAAGAACUUGCAUAAAUUAAAAGAACAGAAAGACUCGCAUAUGGCACUUGCAAAAACUUGAAAAUAACUUCCACUCGUCAGGGCAGUAGCUUGGUAGAGUGGUUAGAUUACAAUCACACAUAAAUAGUCUUUUCAAUCAGGUUGGCAAUGGUACACCACCCGAUAUACAGUAAAUAGUAAAACUAUAGAGAGCUCGACAGACUUUUAGAGAGAAGUUACAGAGAAAUAGAGAAGUAGCAGAGUUACAGAGACAAGAAGUUGCAGUUGUAGAGAGAGAAAAGAAUGUUGCGGAGGCAAUAGAGAAACUAUCAGAGAGAGUCCGGGAGAGCUGAGAGAGUUAAGAAAGCUUAGGAGAGAUGAGAGAGCUUAGAAAGAACAGAGAGUUUCGGAGAGAUGAGAGAGCUAAGACUGGGAGAACACUUGGUAUUCGACCUGCUCAACUGAUCUUCUCCUUCUCCUUUUAUAGAUGGCGGACGUGAAAAUCUUGGAAGUCCACUGUCUUGUCCAAGCCGAAAGGUGUCGGCAGGAAGGGACAAACCGUAAAGGGCACACAGUAACCGUCGGCAGGAAAGGACAAACAGUAAAAGGUACACAGUAACCGUCGGCAAGAAAGGACAAACAGUAAAAGGUACACAGUAACCGUCGUUGGCUUAUAAAGUAGUCGGUGGUUUUAUCUUAUUUGCUAGUGGGAAUUUGGUAAUAGUGCUGGCAGAUAUACUUUUGACAAGUGGCUUCAGUAAGUGGGGAACAUCUUUCGCUAAUGGCAGUCAAUCUAGUCUUGUUAGGUCUUCGGGCUAAAUAUUAGUAUUAUUGGUUCGGGCUGAAUAAUUAUUAGACUUCCACUGGGCUUUAAUGAGAAAAAUCAAUAGCUGGUUGCACUAAUUCACAAUCUUCAUUUUCCGCAGCAUAAUCUUCAUCAUUUUGUGACGAGGUUAACAUAGCUUAUCCUUCUUCUUCGAACAUCUGAAGCAACUGAUUUUUCAACUCUUUUUUUGUUGCUUUAGGGUUUUGCUUCUUCAUUUUGUUAAUAUAUUCAGCAAAACUAUUCGGGUUGUCUUCUAGUGUCUGAUUUGGAACCUUUCUCAAUUUAAUAUUUUCUGGAUCAAUAAGUUUGUUCUCAUAGACAUCCCACCACUUAAUGUAUAUUUUCUUUCAUAGUUUUGGGAUGUAUUCCCAAUCAUUGGUGAGAUUAUCGGAUAUUGCAAAAAUCCAUUUCAUAAUCCAAAGAAUUUGAUAUAAUGCCAUAAAAUAUAGAUGGUGAUCUAUUUGGGGGUCAUUAUUGUUAAAUUCUGCAAACUUGUAUUGAGAGGUUUGUAUCUUAGGAGGAAGAAUCUCUGUUCCGGAUUCCCAGAUCUGGAACCAAUUCCUAAACCAAUUAGGAAAUUUUUUAACGAUUGUCAUUUCAUCUGUAUGAACCAGGUGUGUGAAUUAUUACUAUUUUGGAGGGCAAAAACCUUAUGCCAGACAUCUAUAUAUUCAGAAUAUCUAUAGUACUUGUUAUUAAAUUCUGGUGCCUGUAAUUUUCUACUUCUUAUGGGAUCUAAGCCCCAUUCUUUAUAUGAUAUUAUUUUUCUUAUCUGGAAUUUUGAAUAAGCAACUAUAUUUGUAUUUCUUUACCAAAGUAAUAGAUUCUAUCUCUAGGAGAAUUGCUUCAUACCAUGCCCUUGUCUUAUUACCAUUUGAGGGAUUCAGAUUAUUGAUCAAAUAUUGAUUGGCCACAAUUACUGGAUCUAAAGCCCAGUGUUCAUCUUCCAUUAUUAUAUCGGUUAAAAAGGUAGUUUCUAUAAAUAAUGAUUUUUCUGAAGUAGGUACUUUUACCGGACUAGGAGAAGAGAUAAGUUCUUGAGCUUGUCUUUUUAUAAGUUGGUUUGGAGUCUCUGGGUAAUUUACUAUAGGUUUACCUAGAGAUGAUGAUUGGACAAUAUCCAUUUUCUCUUUUCCUUUAUCAGUAUUAGUAUGCAUUAUUAUCCGUCUUUCUCUGCUGGCCCUAUCCCAAUCCCCCCUGCAAAAAUUCACGAGUUAAGAAAUCAGGAAAGAAGUUAAUAUUUCCUUUUAAAUGCUCAAUAUCGAAAUCAAAAGAUGAAAGGAUUGCUUUCCAUCUAGCAAAAAUUUGUUUCGACACAAGGUUUUUCACAUCUUUGACUAAAAUGUCUUUUGCUGCUUUACAAUCAGUUCGUAUUAAAAAUUUCUGAUUAAGAAUAUCACUCUGGAACUUUGUAACACAAUGAACAAUGGCUAAGAUUUAUUUCUUAACCGUUGAAUAAUUUUGUUGAGUUUGAUUCCAUGCUUUUGAUGUAAAGAGGACUAGUUGUUCUUUUUCAUGUAUCCUUUGUUUCAAAAUUCCUCCUAAUCCAAUUUCAGAGGCAUCACAUUCUAUUAUUUUAAAGGCAGUAGAAUUAGGCAGUUUAGGCAAAGUAAUUCCUUGGCCUUAUUUUUCAUUUUUUUUACUGCCAUAGUAUGCUCAUCAGUCCACUUGGGGGGAUUCUUUUUUAAUCUUUCGAAUAAAGGCUUAGUAUCAAUGGCUAGAUUUUUAUAAAAGUCUGAACUAUAGUUUAGACAUCCUAGGAAUCUUUGAAGUUCUGUUUUAUUUAGGAUAAUAUCAGGAAAUUUGUUUGCAAAAUCUAUUACUCUAUCGAUUGGGUUAAUACUUCAUUGGAAAAUAUUGUGACCUAGGAAUCUAAUUUUGGUUUGGCAAAGAUUAAUUUUCUUUGUUGAAACUACCAAACCUGAUGCUUUGAUGGCAUUUAUAAAUACAUUAAUAUGUUUAAAGUGUUGUUCUAUCCUUUCUGAAAAUAUCAAAAUGUCAUCAAUGUAGACAAUCAUAAAUUUCAUAUAAGGAUUAAAAAUAUCAUUCAUUAUAUUCUAGAAUUCUGCAGGAGCGUUUUUUAGCCCAAAAGGCAUUACGUUCCAUUCAUAUUGUCCGAAAGGGACAUUGAAAGCAGUUUGAUAUCUAUCCUUUUCAGAAAUCUGUAUUUGCCAGUAGCCUGAUUUUAAAUCAAAUGUGUAGAAUAUGCAAGCAUUUACAAGUCUAUCAAGUAAAUCCUUUUUAUUAGGUAUGGGAUAUCUAAUCCAUUUAAGUACCUGGUUCAACGGCUUAUAAUUUAUUACCAACCUUGGUGCCCCUCGCUCCUUUUCUGAGGUUUUCUACAUAAAAGGCUGAACAACUCCAAGGGGAUGAGUUUUUUCUGAUUAACUUUUUCUGGAGUAAUUCGUCAAUCUCUUUUUUACAUAUUUCAAGCAAUCUUGGAUUCAUCUGGAUAGGCCUGGCCUUAGUCGGUAUUUUAUUUUCACUAAAACCUUCUUCAUAAGGUAAACUUACUAUAUGUCUUUUCCUAUUCCAAAAGGCAUUUUGUAGUUCUGUGCAAAUUUCUUUUUCUAUUUUUAUUCUGAUAUUUUCAAUAUUCUUUCUAUUUUCGGUCAAAGAAAGUUUUUCAUUUAUUGUCUUAUAUUUUACUUCCUCUUUAAGAUGACAUAAAAAUCUUUGUUUAUUUUUAAUGAUUUGCUUGAUGUUAUUAACCUCUCUAAUUUUUGGUUUGUCUAUAAACUCAAAUUUUAUAUUAUGACCUUCUAGAUUUGCUUCAAUUCCUGUGCUAUCUAUUUUCAAAGGAUAUAGUAGAUUUAGGAAAGGUGUUCCAAGUAUAACAACUUGACUUAAUCCUUUCACCAUAAUAAAGGGCAUUUCAAAACAAUUACCAUUAUUACAUAUUGCAGCAUUGGAUAGUUUAUAUUUGAUUAUUAAUCUAUUACCAUCUACUGUAUUGAGUAUUUGAGUUGUCUUACUUAAAUAUUUAGUAAGAACUAAUCCUUCAUUUAUGCAAUUAAGAUCUGCUCCCGAAUCUAUUAGUGCAAGGGACUAAAAGCUAUAUUCUUUAUUUACUAUUAUUGUAAUUAAGGUAAACCAUUUCUAAGAAAUGACUUUGUCUAAUAGGCUUACAUAAUUAUUUUCUUGUAUAGGCUUCUCCGUUGAAUUAGAUGAUUCUGGGGUUUCAAAUAUUGGGGGUACUGGAUUUUUAUGGUUUCUUAAAAUACGAUCAAAUUCUAAUUCUUCAUUUGUAUCAUUUUCAGAAAAGUCAGCAGUCAUUUCUAAUAUUCUUAUUCUAUUUUUAAGAUGCUGAACUUCAAAUUUUACCUCAUUUAUUUCUUAUUUUAAUUCAGCAUUGGAUGGUUCUUUCUGAGCAGUAUCUUUUCUAUUAAUCCUUUUAAGUGUUUCCGCUAGACUAUAAUCCUCUUGUGUCUUAACCAGAGGAGCUGGCUUCUUUUUUGUCUUAGCCAUUUGAAUAUAUUGUGUUAGGGUUUCUUUUUUGGCUUUUGGAUUAGCUAUCUUGUCUAUUAAUUCUAUGAUUAAAUUUUCUUCAUCUGUAAGAGUAUUAAGAGUUUUACAGAAACAAUCUUCCAUCUGUUCAUCAGGAUCUGAGCUACUUAGUAUUAAAUCUUCAUCAUGUGUUUCUCCAGCGAGAGGUUGAGAAUUAGAACUCGAUGUACUACUAUUUGUUUCUUCAUCUAUUUGAAGUAUAUCAUAUAUUUGAUUUCUAAUCUCCUCUCCAAGUUGUAGGGCAAUAAUUUUUCUUUUAAUUUGACAUUUAUUUUUAUAAUGUCCUACUUUUCCGCAAUUGCAGCAUACUGAAAUUUUUUUUUCCCCCUUUUUGAAAUUGGAUAUUGGGGCAAACUUUUUAGUAAAUUUGUCCUUGAUAUUUCCCUUUUGAGUAGAUUUAUGUUUUUUAUUUUUACUCUUAUUUUUACAAGAUUUAUCUGAUGCGGGUACAGUAUUAUGGCUGAACUGUUCACAAAAAUCUCCUAACUCUUUCUUGCUCAUCAUUCUUUGCUUAUCAAGUUGUCUUUUUAACUUUAAAUCAGUACACAGGGCAAUACCUUCUGCACAGAUUUCUGCGGAUAGUUCUCCUAGUGUAUAAAGGGAAUAUAGGAUUAUUCCACGAUUCUUAUUCUUCAAUCUAUUUUUCACCUUUUCAACAAAAAGGUAGGGUAAUCUUGCUAUAAAUUUUUCCUUCCAAUGAUCUGCACUGCUGUCUUCUCGAGACAGGAGACGAGAAACGAAUACAUCUUUAUACCAUUUAUAAUGGGAUAAUGUCGGACAUCUUAGAUUAGAUAGUAGAUCUUCUAAUCUAGCAUCUAGUAAAGAAGUACUCCCUACAAAGUGGAGGGUUAUUGUAUAGAUGAGUGUACUAACUGCAUCACUUUCACUAUGAGGUAUGUCUUGAUUGAACUCAUUUUUAACAGUCCACUGUCUUGUAGCAUUCAAUAUUUGUUGUUUAGCAGCUGCACUCAUGUGAAAAUCCCACCAUCAUCUCAACCAUCCAGUGAAACCACAGACAAGCUUUUGCUACUUCUUGGUCAUCAUUUCCUGCUACUUUACAAGCAGUGGCAUACAUAGUCAUAUGCUUCAUGGUAUCAAGUAUCUGAUGGUCAGACAUACCAUCAAUAUUCCAAUUGACAAUUGUUCUUCCCGAGUAGGAUACAGUGCUUGAAAUUAAAUCUUCUUCAAACUGUAUAUCUACUGGGGUUGACCUAGUAUGGUACAUCCUUGAUUGGGCAAUAGGCCUCCAUUUUCUUCCAUAAUCUAUUCUCUUUAAGUUACCUUCCUUAAAGGCUUCCUCUAUUUUGAUUAUUCCUUCGCCAUCUACUGAGUUUUCUUGAAGCACCAUGGCUUCUGAUUCAACUAUUACUCAUUUCCCCUUUCUAUCUUUUAUACUUAACUGGGAUAGUUUCUUUACUAGUUCAUCAACUAGUUCUCUAUUUUCUUCCUUUUUUUUUAUUCCUUUUAGGCUGAAUCUUUCUUCAUUUAUAUCAGGUGGGAGUUUGAAUAAUACUGCUUUCUUUUUACUAUCUUCACCUGGAGGUUUUCCUAUUAUAUUUUCAAUUCUAGUAGUGUGUUUACCUAUAGAUUGUAAAAAGAGGUUAGUAUAAUUGUUUUGUUCUAUUAUGUGUGGGAUCAUUUCUAUUUUAUGGCUAUGCUCGUUAGGGACUAACUUAUAAGGCGAUGCUUUUGUUUCUGGUUUAUCUUUUAAUACUCCUUUUAUUUGAAGGCUUCUUUCCGGAGGAUGUAUACUCUGUAUUUAUUUUCCUUCUAUUGUAUAGAAGGUUUGAUAUUGAUUUUCUAAUGUAUUUAAUCGGAAAUUAGGAAUAGGAAUAUCUUUUUCUUUAAGAGUCGAUUUUAACCAGAUAAAGAAUCCUAUAUUUUGUUUAUUCUUUUUUAUAAAUUUAUUGUAUCUUUUGUGAAGAGCAUCUAAUAAUUCUUUUGGGAAUUCUGAGUUUCAGAAAGAUAAUCAUUUUUUAAUAAUUCUAGGUCUAACUUGAGCCUCUUUUCUUUCUGGAGAGUCAGGAUAUUAAAGUCAAGGUCAGAGAAUGUUGGUUGACUCCGUGAUGGACUAGGAUCAUAAGGUUUGUAUACGGGUAUAUGUAUGUUACUAUUUGUUCUUGUUAGCCCUUGUAUUAAGGGCUUAUCUUGUAUUGAUGAAGUAGAAUGUCUAGAAGGUGCAAGCAUUCUUUUUGGAGGUCUUAUUAUAUCUUCAAAAAAAUUCAAUAUUGCCCAACGGCUAGAACUGAAUUGAAUUUCAAUAUUUCCAUCAGGAUAUUAAAUUAUUUGGUCCGGCUCAUUAUUAAUAGGGGUUCUAUACCGUUGGUUUUCAUUAUGGAUAGACCAAUUACUUGGGAGUAUUACUUGGGACCAAUUUAUUGAUUUAGGAAUAACGGUGUUUAAUUUUUCCAUAUUUGUCUGAAAAAAUAAUGUCUGUCCCUUGUUAUCCACUUUGAAGGACGAUUCGGGUCUCGAAUGUAAGUUCUAUAACUAGUCGUUGGGGAGGUCGAAAGGGCACGACNNNNNNNNNNNNNNNNNNNNCCGGGGUAGCCCACUAGCUCCAAUGUCACCUUCUUUCAUUCUUGUUUUAGGGACAUUAACAUAUUAUUGUAGAAAUCAGAGACCCAUAGAAACCAUAGAACUUAAGACUUUCCUAUACCGUUGGCCUUCAAGCAACAAGAUCAUUUUUGUAUAUGGAUACGAACAGUGUUGAGUCACGAAUCUCCCUGCCAAAUUUCGAUCCAAAAUACUUCUCGUAUUAUGAGAUAUUGUUCUAAGAAUAAUAGGAGGUUAUAGGGGCUGCAACUAUUUCAAUGACUUCAACCCCUCUUCUUUUUCCUUUAAAAUAGCGGCCAUAAUUGAGUCAAAAAAUCUACUUGAUAUGCAUACCACUUAAAAGCCCGUGGAACAAGUAACAACAUAUUGAAAUUUGAACCCAUUUGACCACCUCAUCUGUGAGAUAUUUCCUUGUCAAUUUGCCCAAAAAUUUUUCGUGGCGGCUGCAACUCCCAUGGCCAGAUGGACCAUAUAGCAUACUAUGGUCCUUUCAGGAAACGUUUGAUGGUUCAUUUGUGGUCAAACCGAAAAGAGACUUUAAACCGGUACUUCUAGAUACCAGAUUUAGCUGGGGAUGUGGUUUUAUUAUUUAUAUUUUGUUCCCAUAAAAUUUCAAGCCACUUUGGAUUCUUAUGGAUUCAUUGUAAAGCUAGCGGAUUAGUGUGCACCAUCAAUGAGUUUUAUAUCGUUGUCAUGGUCAUAUCUCAUUAAUUUGACCUUGGAUCGAGUUCAAAUUUCGAACCAAGCUCUUUCAUAACAUAUGCUUCCUUCUAUAAGAAUUGAAGGGAAUUGGAAUCUAUAUUUGGUGGGUCCCCUUUGUAAAAUGUCUCGGUCUCGCUUGAAAUUUUAAAUUGGUCAUAUUCGUAUCUCGAUGACGCGAAUCAGAUCGGCUACAAAUUUAAUAUUUGAGCUUUUCAGCAUGGUUCCUGCCUUUUAUAAAAAUAUUGGACCAUUAUAAUGCAACUUCCAUAGGGUUUAUUUGUAAUUGUAUCAUUUUACAACAUUUCGUUUGGGUUUCUGACCAGCCAUAUCCAUAUCUUUAUCAUUCGAGGUUGGUUUGAGCUAAAAUUCGGGGGAUGGCUUUAUGGAACUUUAGAUUGAAAUUUGAAAUACUAGAAUGGUUUUAGAAAAAUUUGACCGAAGUUUGAUCAUAUUGUGCAAUCUAAUCAUUGAUUUAAGUUGGAUGCUCCUUAUUUUUUAUUUUCAAAAGGUUUUUCUCAUUAAUUUAAUUGAUGUCUUCGCACCCUGGUGCCUUUUUAUUUAAUAUCAUUUCUUGAAAAGAAGGCCUUAGUGAUUUUAUCAAGACAAAAUACCCCCAAAAAUUAUUAUACUUGUUUGUGAUCAAGUUAAUGUAAGGGGGUGCUAGAAAUUCUAUAUAAGCUACUCCCAGUUUCGGACAAGAUUAUAGUUAUCAUGAGAAAUUUCAGCAAAGAGUUUGAGUAUUGUUAUUGGGAGAAUAGCAUGGAGGUUGAUACUUUCUCCAAACUAGGGCUGGCAAUGGACCCAGUCCUGACCCGGGACCCACCGGGUAUGGGUCCAAACCUUGGACUAGUGGGUAGGCUCCAUGUCUAAUAAAUGAUACCCAAAGAUUCUCGAGUAUAGGUCUAGGUACUAGUGGACCUGCCCCAUACCUGAUCUGGGACCCAAAAUGUCCCACCCCGUUUGAAACCUAUCAUUCAUUUUAUAGCAAGCCCCCUCAUGUUACCUCUCUAAAUCUUUUGAUGUGGGACUAGAAGUUUUUCUCAACCUACAAAGAAACAACAAUUUUCUCUCUCUCUAUCUUACCCCUCCCACCUCUCAUGUUUCUUCAUUGUUUUGCUUUAUUUUUUGUCAUUUUUGAAGCUUUUAUUUUAUCGAUAAUAGUGUCAAGAACUGUGAAUUGGGAUUGAUAUUAUAUGUUGUAUUUUCUAUAUAGUUGUAGAUUAUGAUUGACAUAAAAAAUUGUAUUGUCUAUAGAUUUGGAUAGUUUGUUGUACAUUCCAAAAUUAGGAUACCUACAAUCUUGGAGUUGGCUAAGACCAAGUUGUAUAUAUCAUAUUGUAAUACUCAAUUGAAUGUAAUAUAGGAUUUUCCAAUUCGUAACAUGAGAUCAGAGCCUUGUCAUAUGGGCUCGCGGUCCUCUCUAUCUAAGAAUGGCUCGGACCUUAGCACCGAGGUUCUAACCUAACAGAGGACGAUCUCAUCAAGAAGUUUGCCUUGCCAUUCUUACCCUGCAUUGUAUCAAAUUUGCAAUUGCUUCUGAGGCUGCUGCUUCAUAGAGAGUGGUUGUUGCGCUUCUCUUGAGCAUCAGAUCUGAGCUUGUCGUAGAGAGAGAGUUGCCAUCCGUAAGCUGGUGGUCAUGUGCCAAGGAAGCAGUAGUUUGCUUGUUGCGAGCCAUGGAGUUGAGUCUUCGUUAUUUGCAAGCAGUUUCCCUAGGGCAUUGACUAACUAUUCCAAACGUCCAACUUGGUCUCUUGUUUGCUUGUUUGCCCCAACAGAGCAAUUUGCUUGGUAAGAUUUGCCCCAAGAUAGAAAUUUGCUUAGCAAGAUCCACUAUGAACACUUGCCUUCCAAAAUUUGCAUGCCCAUUGAUACAUAGUUUGUUUUUCUUUCUCCAGCUUUCUUCUACCAAGUUGCUUUAUUUGGUUUUCGUUGAUAUUAUCUCGCUCUCUCUCUUUAGGUGCUGAAAUCGUUAGCACCUUUGACAUCUAGCAACAACAGUGCCUUUUUGCUUACGGAUAGGUUGCAAACUCUUUCUCUAUCUACUGAGUCCUCUUUUUUUGUUUCUCUCUCUAGAAUAUUCCGUAUCUUGUUGUUGUUUCUUUUCUUUUUACACAUCUUACAUGAGUUUGUGCAAGUUUUGUGUGCAGUCGGUGAUUGUAGGUUUGUGGAUGAGUUUGUGCAAGUUCGAAUGCUGCCUUCAUGCACAAGUUUCUGUGCGAGUUCUUGGUGCACGAGCAAGAUUUUGAUUGUUGGUUUUGUACACAAGUAAGUUUUAGCUCCUUCAAAUGGCAAACAAUAGACACAAAUACGUAAUUGAUACAUCGAACGAGAUUGUCACAGUUUUUUCACCAUUCUAUUUAUGCCAUUCAAACAAUCCAGGUAUCAGUUUGUUUACAAAUCAUUUAGUUGGUGAUAAUUAUUUUACUUGGAGACGAGCUAUUUGGAAAGCCUUAAAUGAAAAAAUAAAUUAGGUUUCAUUGAUGGAAUGAUCUAUGCACCUGACAUUGGCUUCGCCAAGUAUAGACUAUGGCAACACUGCAAUGACAUAGUUCAUUCUUGGAUCGUGAGCACAUUUUCAAAACCUCUUUCGAACAGUAUGAUUUACAUUGAGAUGGUAAGGGGCGUGUCGCUAGACCUAGAGUAAAGGCUUUCUCAAAGCCAUGCACCUCGAAAGUUUGAACUCAAAAGAUGCAGAGCUACAUUGCAACAGGAGCAAUAUCCAUUUGUCGAAUAUUACUCCACACUUAAAACGUAUUGGGAUGAACUCGCAUCCUAUGCCAUUGAUCCCAAGAAAGUAGAUGAGGAAGAGGCUACUUUAUUCUUAGUUAAGAAGUGAAGAGAUGGGUUUUAAAAAUGGUGCUCACCACCCCCAGAUGCGGCAGCUCUUGCAGUUGGCCACCCCUCUGGUUCACGAGAUACAAGAGGAGCCAAAGGAAAAAGCAAAGAAAAAUGUGAACAUUGUAGAGUGAUUGGCCACAAUAAGGCACGUUGUUUUGAACUCAUCAUAUACCCACCCAAUUGGACCAAGCAUAACAAUUCAUGCAGAAGCGAGGAACGAGAAUUUAUGCUAGGUCACGAGCCACACAAGUCCAUGGAAAUGCAUUUAGCGCACUGCCUAGUAUUGUCGCAACAACUUGUUCCCCUUUCCAUUGACUUAUUGCCGAACAAUGUAAACAACUGUUGAGCCUACUUUCAGUUGAUUCUUCGUCCACCUCUGUCAACCUCGCAGGUACUAUUUCUCGUCCUGCACAUUGUACAUUACCACCUGAUACUUGGAUUAUUGACAGUGGGGCAUUAGAUCACAUGAUGCCUCAACUAUCGUCCCUUCUUGACACCACAACAGUAUCAAAUAUGUCACAUGUGAAAUUGCCAACUGGACACACACAACCCAUCACACACGAAGGAAUUGUUUACCUGAAUUCUGGCUUGAGAUUAUCCAAGGUUUUACGCGUUCCAUCAUUUAAUAUUGUCUUGCUUUCCUUUAGCAACUUGAUACAAUUGAUGAAUUGUACUGCUAUUUGUUCCCCAACCUUCAAUGUAUUUCAAGACCUUGCUAUGAAGAAGCUAAUUGGCACGUUCGUGAUGGACUUUAUCAGUAUGUCCAACCCUCAUCACCGUCAGCCUUGUCAAUUGUUCGAAAAGAAAGCUCAGUCCUAUGGCACCAGUGGUUAAGUCACCGAUCUAUGCACCGACUUUCUCAUUGGUCUCCUGAUUUUGCUAAUUUACAUUAUUGUUUGAAUAAUUGUGAUGUGUGCCAUGGUAAAAACUCAAUUCCAUUGAAUUGACAAUGGGACUGAGUUCUUGUCUCAAGAUAUCCAUAAUGUUUUUUGAACGCAGGGCAUCCAUCAUCAAUAGAUGUGUGUCGACACCCCUCAAUAAAAUGGGGUGGCUGAACGCAAGCGCCAUCACUUGUUGGAAGUUGCCCAUGCCUUGCGUUUCCAAGACAACUUACCGUUGCAAUUCUAGGGAGAAUGUGUGGUCACUGCUACAUAUCUCAUAAAUAUCUUGCCUACACCUAUAUUGUUUGGUCGAACCCCUCAUCGGGUCCUUUUCGAUUCCAAACCAUCAUAUGCUCAUUUACAGGUAUUUGGUUAUCUUUGUUAUGGCCACAAUCAUGCAUCUGAUAGACACAAAUUUGCCCUCAGAGCAUCUCGUUGUGUUUUCAUAGGCUAUCCUUUUGGACAAUGUGGGUAUCGCGUUCUUGAUCUUGAAACCCAUAAAAUAUUCACAUCAAGAGAUGUAUCUUUUGUAGAAGACUGAUUCCCCUUUCGUGAAAUAUCACAACAAGAACCUGAAGCAACUACAAUAUUAGCUCUACCCAUAGUAGACAAUGGUACUUUUAACUUCGAACCUGAAUUUGUUCCUAAUCCUACUCCUAUCACAUCUCCUCAUGUACCCGCACCACAACUACAACAAGAACAGUCAAUAAAUGAACCUAGACGACCCACACAUGUUCAUAACAUGCCCACAUGGUAUAAGGAUUUCAUUUGCUCUAUGGUCCAUCCAAAAGUCAUGAAAACUUCACCUACGACACAAGGCUCUUCGGCAAGUACACGUUACCCUCUUUUCAAUUUUGUUUCAUAUGUCAAAUUCUCGCCACCAUAUUUUGCCUUUGUUUAAGCUAUAUCUUCUCAGGAAGAACCUAAGUCCUUUACCCAGGCGGUUAAAUUUCCCCAUUUGAAAGCAGCAAUGGAAGCUGAAAUUGAUGCAUUACAACAAAACAAUACUUGUACAUUGCAGCCUCUGCCUCCAGGCAAGAAACCCAUUGGAUGCAAGCAGGUAUAUAAAAUCAAAUACAAGGCCGAUGGAACCGUUAAACUGUAUAAAGCUCGCCUUGUAACCAAAGGAUAUACACAUGUCGAAGGGCUUGACUGUCAUAAGGCAUUUGCACCAGUUGUAAAGCUGGUCACUAUGCAAUGUGUACUUACUCUCACAUCUAUCAGAGGAUGGCUCCUCUAUUAGCUCGAUGUGCACAAUGCUUUCUUGCAUGGCGAUUUGUGUGAGGAGGUUUACUUGCAAAUUCCACCAGGGUUUGCUUGAAAGGGAGAGACUCGAGUUUAUCAACUAAACAAAUCAUUAUGUAGGCUCAAGCAAACCUCUCGGCAAUGGUUUGACAAAUUUUCUUCCACUUUGCAAUCUGUUGGUUUUAUUCAAUCUGUUGCGAAUUAUUAACUAUUCACCUUAAUUGUUGGAAAGACUUUCAUUGUUCUCAUGGUUUAUGUUGAUGAUAUUAUCGUCACUGGCAACAACAACAGAUUCAUUUUGCUGUUAAAACAGUUUCUUCACUCCAAAUUCCAUAUCACGGAUUUGGGAGUCUUGAAAUUUUUGUGGGCAUAAAAGUCGCUCGUUCCCAAAGAAGAAUCUUUAUUAAUCAAAGAAAAUAUGUUCUUGAUAUUUUGGUUGAAGCUGGACUCACAGGUACAAAAUCCGUUGCUUUUCCCAUGGACCAACACAUUCGUCUUACUGCCACUGAUGGCGAUCUGCUUCAUCAUCCUGGUCAAUAUCGAUGUCUAGUGGGACAGUUAAUUUAUCUCACUAUCACAAGCCUAAUAUAUUAUAUCUGAUUCAUAUCCUUAGCCAAUUUAUGCAUAGUCCUCGGCAACCCCAUUACAUUGCUGCUCUUCGUGUACUUCGAUAUCUCAAAGGCAGGCCUUCAUUUGGACUCCUUUUACCAUUCAAUUCCUCGCUCCAGUUAAUAGCUCAUUGUGAUUCCAAUUGGGCCACCAGCCCCAUGACCCAGUGAUCGACUACUAGUUAUUUUACUGUAUGUUUUCCAAAAGGAAAAUAAUUGUAAAGGAAAACAAAACAAAAGCUAGAGAACAAGGCAAAUAUAUAUCCAAAAAAAAAACCCACCACCAUAGUAUAUGCUUGAAAUUAGUAUUGCUCUCUCUAAGGUCCUUUUCUUUCCAUAGUCAAUUCUCUACUCCCAGUAUGUGAAUCAAUAAGGCUUGCCUCUGUUACCUUAUUUAGUCAAACAAUAUGCUUUAGGUUCCUCUCUCUGUUUAUACAUUGAAAUAGUUCUUCUCUGUGUGUCAAGGCUUGCUUUAUCUCUUUGUUUAAGGGGCUACUGUUCAAAUUCAUUAGCAUAAAGUUGUUUGAUUAAUCCUAGUGUAAUCCAAAGAAAAUCAAAAGCUCUCAAAAGCCAAAACCAAAGAGCGCCAGAGAAUGGGUAGUGAAUAAAAGAUAAGGGCAUUCGAUUCUUCCUCUGAUUUAUACCACAAGAAUAUAUCUGUUAAGAUAAUAUCCCUCUUUCUCAGGUAACCAAUAGUAAAAAGUUCAAUUUCUUACGGCAAGCCAAGUUAAAGCUUUUGUUCUAUGUGGAGUUUGCAGUGACCAUGCUUUGUUAGCUGCGGGUCUGAAUCAUUGAUAUCUAAGACCAGCCAUUAUGAUUUAGAGAAGAUAUUUAGGAACCUUAUCCCAUAAGAUUUGACCCAUAUCCACUUCUAAUCUAUGUAGAUUAUAAUUAAUCAAAAUAUAUCUCUUGAUUUAUUUAAAAAAUUCCUUUUUAAUCUCAUCAAGGGAUAUUUAAGAAUUUCAAAACAAAACAAAUAUGGUCCAAAUAAUCUAGAUCCAAUAAAAAUAUCACAAAAUAUUUACUUAAAAAAUAUCUAUUAAUAUUUUUACCUAACCAAAAAAGAUAUUUUCUGUAAUAAAAAUGACACCCACAAGAUACCCCAAAUUAGUGAGAAAAAUGGGACAAUGUGGACCCCACAUGUGUAGGGGCUGGGACCUUAGCCCCCCCAAGUGGGUCCCACCACAUAAGACCAUUAUUUUGAAAACCACCAAUCUUUAGAAAAUAAAAAUUCAGAAAUAACCUUUAGGGAGCAUUUAUUCAUUGAAAAUGAAUUUUAAAGUUCUAAAAAAUCCAAAAAUCACAUAAGCAUAAAUGCGGUUGAAAACAAUAUUUUUAGGGUUAAAUAAAAAUUAAAAAUACAUAAAAAUACCUCUAGAAGUGGAUCGAUAUCAAUAGGUCAAAAGUGACUAUCAAAGCACUCCACCAAUGCCAAAAUCCAUGAUCUACAACGGCCUUCUUAAACCAACCAAGCGAAACCCAUUACCUGUGCUGAGGCUCAAGAUUCGCCCGCCAAAUUUAGCCAAUAAAUAAUGAAAACAUAGUCUCGUGUAUGUGGAUUACAGGUACCCCCAUUAAGAAAAAGUCAAAUGCACAUAUCACUAUAAUGCAAGAGGAUAUCUCUAUGCACAUAUAAACGUAUCCCUCUAUAGGAGACUAUGAAGCUCUCUAGACCUACAAACAAUAUCCUUAGGCAUCUCUCCGACCUUAGCAAGAGAUGACCAUCUAUAAACCCUCAACGGUGGUGCUUAUACCUAAGAAAAAAGGGUUUUGGACAUGACCUGGGUCAUAAACCGCCCAACCCUAGGUAAAUCAACCAUAGCACAAUUCCACUGAAGUACACAAUCACUAUAAUGUUUUAUAUUUACAUGCUCUCAUGGCCUUCAAAGGCCACAAGGCCCAACAAGGCAUAGGCCUGAGAAAAUAGUAUAUCAGGCAAUUCCCAAUCUCCUCCUUAAUACAUAGCACCUCAUCUUUAUCGUGUGCAACUACAAGCUUCUUGUCCACAAUAUGCAGUGGGGUAACGAUUCUGAAUAAAUUUUUAAAGGUUUGGUGGGACUUCAGAGAACAACCUAGUGUAAAACCAUUAGAGGUUGCCACUAAAGGCACAAUAGUCCAUUGGCAUUAGAGAAGUGGCAAGUGGUUUUAGUGGCAUUAGAGGUUAGUGGAGGCAGGAAGUUCUUGUAUUGCAUAUUCCAAAAGGCCAAUACAGUCAUGCACCUUCCCACCUACCUCUUAUCUAGGUAAUGCCAUUAUACAAAGGGAAAAUAAUUUCCAAUAUCGUAUACGUACAAAUGAAUACUUCGAUAGUGAAGGAGACCCAAGUCCAAGUUUUAACUUACAAUGGAGAAACUUACAAAUGAAUCAGAAUACUGGAGUGAGCUUUCAUUUUCAAAAAUAUCCACGUGUAUUGAGAGAGAGAGAGGUGACAGGUGGGGGGAGAGGAUGCCUAACAUAUUUCCAUGAUCUGGAAGAAACCAAUCGACUUGAAAAUCCCUCUCUAAUUUGGCUUAGGAAAUGGUUUGCGUAGUAUGAUGCAAAAACAGAAGAAAAGUGGUGCUGUAAAUUGAUAGAACAACAUAAAACUGAUUCAUGCCAUAGGCAUUCGAGGUGCUAAAUACCACCAAGGCAUUGAGGAUACUACACAUUCCCCUAAUCUAUUUGCUACAUCAUUAGUGUCUCUAAUAACACAACAAGUGCUAACCAUUGCAGAGUGGCUAAGAUGGAGAAUAUCUUCAAUGAGAUUCACUAGUCUUCAAGCAUGUGCCUUACCUCAACACACAAUGAGUCCUCCUCCAAAAAGGCAGGUCUAGAGAUAGAUUAUGUAAAACAGCUUAAUUGGUCAAGAUGGUGGUGGCUUCAACAAUAGGGGCAUUGUAAAGCCCCACAAGCCAUGGGUUCUGAUAAGGUCAAACAAAUAGCCUCAGAGCAGUCUUUAGAAAGUCCUUCAGUGUUAGUUGGGCCCAGAGUGUCCAUACCAUUGUUAGAAAAACCGAGCAAUCUAACUGCUAACCGCCCAGUUAGAUCGGAAUCGGCCAGUGGCCGGUUUCGGUUUUGGGCGAUUUUGGUGAUCGAUCGGCAUUUAUUAAAAACAAAAUAAAAAAAAUGUACAUAAAUUCCCAAAAAUAAGGAAUUUGGUUUGUAAUGAAUUUUUUAAUAUUCUUCACAUUAUGGUAAAGAUUAAAAAUUGUUUUUGUCAUUAAUACUCACUUUAAUUCAAAAAUAGAUUCGUUAAAAUCUAUUUUUUUCAUUAAUUGUCAACUUCAUUUGAAGAAAAAGAGAAAUAUGAUCUACUAAACAUGCCCUUAAAAUUCUUUCUCUCUCCUCUCAUAUUACUUUUACCAUGUGUACGACCUCCCUUUGAGUUGAUGUAGAUUUCGGUCCAUGUUGUGAGUUCCUCCUUUUUUCUUCAUCUUUGAUGGUCGUGAUGAGCUCCUCGAAUUUUGGGGCCUUUGAUUGAACGGAAAGACAAGUUACGAAUGUUUCUCAUGAAUUAGGAAGUGAAUUCAUGAGAUGAAUCACUUGCAUGGGUUCAAUAGGUUUCAUGCUGGUGUCUUCUAUCUCUCGGAUUAGUGCCCAAAAGGUAUGCACAUGGCAACAAAAUUGAAAAAUUGGAAAGCUCCUAAAACAUCACCAAAGCUUCCUCAAGGAAAAAGCUUUCUAAAACAUCACAUAACCUUUUUUUCAAGCCAAAAUUUGAUCCAACAAAAUUGGAAAGCUCCUAACAGUAGGGCAUGCCACCUUAAGUGGCACUCAUGGGCCCCACCCAUAAACUGGUUGCAAAACAACACCUUAGUAUGUUUAAAGAGGCGUUAUACUCACUCUGAUUCAAUCCAACAUGAAUAAUGUAAUGAAAUUUCUCGAACUGCAUGCUAGGUGCGCGUUCAAAACUUGUAAGCCUUUCUGCAGCUCACAAACUUAGUGGUGAUUAGCAGGUCAUUGGAUUGUGCAGGAGGAAGCAACUGGAUUCUUUAUUCGUAGAAAUAGAGUUCCGAGGGUAAUUGUGACCUCCCCAUAUCAAAUGUAAAUGGUCUUAUUUUAUACUUUCCCUUGAAAAAAUUGCUUUCUUUUCUUCCGUAGUACUUUAUAACAUGCACUAUUCUAUGUUUAUUUCAUUAAAUUGUUGUUAUUGUUGUAAAUGCAUUUUGGUUUGAUAAGUCAUGAAAAAGUAAAUUUUUGGAGUAUAUGGAGCGAAGUCUUUGUAUUUGGAACAUGGCAAUGAAAGGUUGUCGAUGCCGGUGGGCCACGAGGACUUCCAAGUUUGUUAUAGUAAGGCUGUCACUGGUCGUAUUUCAGUGUUAUGCUUUUCACUUGAUGAGGAGGUAUGCCAUUUCCAAUGGUAGAAAGCAAAAUCCUUGAUGUCUUUUUUUGUUUGUUUGUUUCGCAUGAUGUGGAUUAUGGCCUUCUUCCAUCAAUUCUCUUAAGCAAGUACAUGUAUUUCUCAAGUAAAAUAAAGGGGUACGAUGACGUAAUAGAAAGAGAGCGCCUGCUUGUUAAGGAAAACACGUAUAACAUGCUAUCGUAUACCCAAUCACCCGAUCUUACGGUUCAAAGUCGCUUAUUUACUGCUCAACAGUCAUCCAAAAGAAAAGACUCUCUCUCAAGACUUGUUCUUGGCAGCGAGCCCAGACUGUCAUUGCGAAUGAAAGCUAGUGAGCAUCGGAUCAAAAGGUGGUAGGUUCUCUCCAAUUAAUGGAACAUCCAACAAAUCACUGGUACAUACUCGAAGCCGACGAAAAUCCCCAGGCUCGAUGAACUUUUACACUCCCAACCUCCGUGAGAACUUGAGGGCAACAUGAAACCCAAUGCUGAAGAAUAUCGGAAAGUACAAUCAUGUUGCCUUUGCAGAACUUCCCCUCUAGGCCUUCUUCCAAAAUUGAAAGGUACUAGAGCAAUUCUUGGACAACCUUCUCUUGUUCAUCUCCCUCUGAGUAUGACAUUCUCCAUAGAAGAGGAAGCAUCUCUACAAGCCAAAAAGAAAAGAGAGGUAUGAGAUAGAAUGUAGUAUUUUCACAUAGAGGUUCAUUGGUCACGCAUAUUGUUGUCUGGUACAGCCUUAAUUUGCAUGAAAUUUGUGUCGUUUUGGCACUUGAUGACAAUGGAAAGAGGAAAGUAUGAAUCAUAGAACGUUUAUGCAUUUGCACUGGCCAGAGAGUGAGAGAGAGGUACUAUGGAGAAACAUUUCAUACAGAAUUGUAUGGCAUAGGGUAUGCAGAAUGGACAUUUUUAUUUGUAGAUUCUGACACCGGAAUCCAGCAGAAAAACACAUACGGUAGCAUCCACCAGUCUGUUCCUACUGACAGACUGAAGAGAUCACUUUUACUUGGGUUUGUGCAUCACUGAGAGUUGUGUUUAAUUUUCCUGCUGGUAGUGGUGUAAUGCAUAUUUGCCCAGUUACUACUAUAUGGAUCUGUAUAAUUAUAAUGAUCUAUGUGGUCAUCAUAACAGCAUGACCAUGAGGUUUUCUCGUGUCUCACCAGUGGGUUGGAUAUUGAUGGAGAGGACUCUGUAUGUCCCACUAACCUUUUCAUCGAUGCAAUCCUAUAUCCCUCCAUCAUCAUCCAACAUAUAGAUCGAAUAGUGACUGACCUUAUGGUC
rnacentral:lncRNA from 1 species